rnacentral:lncRNA from 1 species
UUUAUUUAUUUAUUAAACACACUAAGCAAAAUAUAUAUAAGCAUAAAAUCUUUAUUUGGUUUUUCAUAGUUAUGUGUAUUUAUAUUCUAAUAUAGUAUAAGUAUAAAGAUAGAUAGAAAUACUUAUCGAGAUAAAUGGGGGUGCUCUCCCCCAAGCUGAAUUUUGACGUAAUUUCUCUUGAUGUAGCUAGCAGGUGGCAGAGGUGUGUUUGAAAGUCAGCAGUAUUUUGACAGCGAUUAGAAUGUCCUCCGUCUGCUAGUCUUCUUGAUUCUUAAAUUCUGUGGAGCUCAAAUAGACAACAAAGCUUGUGGAACUGGUUAAGUGUUAGCAUAAAUAUCUAGCCUUUAUCAUGUUGAGACUCCUUAAUAAAUAUUACUCCCUGUUUUUAUAUUUUUGUUUUUAUAAAGCAGAAAAAUAUUUAUUUUAUUUUUAUGCCACCACAGUGAAUGUACUUAUGGGUUUUAUGCCACUCGUCUACUCACAUGGGGCUUACAGUUUUUUUCACAUUUUUAUUUUCUUUCUAGGAUAAUACGAACAUGAUUAACUAAGUAAACUAUUUGAAAUAAUUAAAAGGGAAAGGAUAACUACCAAGUUUACCUCUUGGCAAGGCGUUCGGUGUUUUUAAGUCCUCCGAGCGGGACUCUCCAUUUUCUUAAUCGUCCUGGGAUUCGCUGGAUGACGUAGUCGGUGAUUCCGGUGGCGCCUCCUCUUCGUGUGUAACUGUAUUCUCUCUCCACACCUGACUCGGUGCUAUGGUCUCCUCAGGACAGUUAUGUUCAAGUGGUAUGUCUUCAGUCCUUAUCACUUCUUCUUCGUAGUCUACCCAUCCGUCCUUGAUGAUUUGCCUCCUCUGGUUGCGGUUGCGAUGUCUUCUUCUUGUCCUGACCUGCUUAGAGUCUUCAACUAUAUAGUUAGGGUCAGUAAAACAGCGGCAUACCUACUCAGAGGAGAAGUGUAUGUGGACUUCUCCGGUUCCAAUAUAGAUGAUGGCUUUGAUAGUGCUGAGGAACUGUCUUCCAAGGAUGGUGGGUGGAUCAUAUUCAUCUUCUCCCAUGUCAAUAACUUGAAAGUCAUCUAUAGCUGAAUGUAUAUUGGUUGUAGGGGCAUGGUUUCAUGCAGGAGCUGAUAAGUGACUACGACCAUUAUGUUGACGUCAGAUCCGGUGUCAUAGAGUGUCCUCUGAAAAGAGUAUCUGUUGAUUGUGCACUCAAUGCUUAGAACACCAGGGUCGUCCUUCUUGAUCAAGAAAGGUGACUUGAGUCGACGAUCUUGACCUCCUUGAACUGCAGUGACCAUCUUAGCUGACUCGGUCCACAUUUGCUUGUUCCUGUUCCUCCUGUUGGUCCUCUUCCUUGGUUGAUGUCGAGGUUGCUCUGAAGUUUGUGUAGUCUUGUUCUUGAAGGAAAGUCUCCUUCUUCCCCUUGAUGUAGAGACUGAUCUUGGCAGCAUUAGCGUAGAUGACAUCUCUAGUGUUUAGGAAUGACCUCCCUAAGAUGAUGGGUGCCCUCUCCUCAGUACCAGUCUCUAUCACCAUGAAGUCUGCUAGAGCGUAUAAGGUACCAACUCGGACGCAGAGGUUCUUCAAUAUUUCCUUUGGGAAACUGAGUGUCCGAUCUGCAACCCUAGGCAUAAUGUUGACGCUGGAGCCAAAGUCGCAGAGUGCUUCUGGGAAGUCCACCAUGCCGAUGGAGAUCGGGAUGACGGGACGUCCUAGAUCACCUCUCUGAGUAAUUAGGCCUCUGUUGAUUCCAACCUUGAUGUUGUUGAGGACGGUUGUAGUAAUAGUUGUUAUUGUUGUUGAUGUAGUUCACGUCCUCAAGCAUCUUAGGGCAGUGAUUGCCUGAGCGUCCAGUAUCUCCAGUGUGUUUGUGCUCGUAGAUCCUAGUUCUUCACUUGGUGGAAUCUGGGAGUUGUAAAACUCCUUCAUAUUAUGCUCGAAGUGUUCCUGCUCAUAGAGACAAGGUAGAGAUCAAGUGCAUGAGCCCUGUUGGUGGAAAGAUAAUCUAUCUAUAUUUAUGUUUUGUUUAUAUCUUCCAAAGAUUGGAUGUGCAAUACUUUAGCUUAUAUGAUUAGGAGUGUGGGGUCACGAAGAUAGUACUAAGAACAAAGAUUAAAGGACUAAACAUGUUGAAUUAAUUGAGUUGGUUAAUUUGGAGUUAUAAAUCAUACAUGUUUGUCUCUUUAUUUAUGUGAAUGCCAGAACCAAGGAGGAGCUUAUAAAAGUGUUAGUCAAGUACCUUAAGAUGUUACCUUACUUGAAGAGUGAUGGUACAGUAUCACCUUGUGGAAGCUUUCCUUUCUUAGCGGUUGUGCAUCGUGUUUGUGGCACCCUCCAUGAAUCAUCUCUUAUGAGCUACGUCUUUCUUGUGCAAAUUGUUAAACUUCAUGUGUCACUUUCUUCAUCUCUAAUGAGUUUGCAUCUCAGGACUUCCCAGGUUGUUAUUGAAAGUUUUCCUACAGGGGUUAGUCCAAUAAAAUAUACCAAUAUCUACUCAAACAGUUUUUAGUUCAGUAACCAAACUAGACUCCAUGUCUAAUCAGAUUAAGGAAGGCUAUUUAACCUAAGCACCACGCUUAAUUUAAAUGCCAUUGGAAGUGUGACCAGUACUUCCAAACUAACACUUACUAGGAUAAACAAAGGUAGCAUGAUGGCUUUUAUAGAGAUCUACUCAAGUGGAGAUGAAGUAGUGUGAUUAGUAUUUAAUAAAUUGAGCAUGUCUCAAAGGUAAGGACAACCAACAUAGCAACAUGGCAAAGGAUGUUUUAUGUAAAGUACUCCCCCAAGCUUGAAUUUUGCAAAAUUCAAGAUUGGAUGAAUUUAAUUUAAUGUUGCAUGAUGAUUGGUUGGGCAUACCUUGCGCUUGUCAUUCAUCCGAUCUUCUUGCUCCAAUCCUAGAAAGGUUAGUGGCAAGAAUACCCGAAGGAAUAUUUCUACAAUUAUCUUUAUAUGCUCAAUACACAAGGCAAUGUUGCAAAUAAUUAGAAGUGCUUGUUUUAGGACACUAAGCUUGUCCUUGGGGAACCAUCAAUUAACUCAACGAGAUCUGCAAUAUUUAUUAUAGACAUAUGCAUCGACAACCGCCCUUUUAAAGUUUUUAUAAAUAGAAAAGAAGAGGGGGUUGGAGAUCUCAAAUGUGGUAAGGAUGGAGAGACAAAUUGAUUGGAGAGAUGUUUUAUAUGAGCAAGGACUGGGUGAGGUAUUUAUGAAAUAACUUCCAUGCUCACUGUUGUUUCUCUCAUUCUCAAACUCCAAGGAUGAUUCUUCAUGAAUGAUUAAAAUUCCUCUAGGAUUGUCUCUCAAGUUUGUUUUAUCUAUCCAUUCAAUGGUGAUAGCACAUGGAUUUUUAAUGCCCUCUAGCCAUUGAUGUUGCUCUUCUCGAUCCUCCUUGCGGUCGUUGUGACCUUUAUGCAUGGGCUGUCUAGAUAGAUUCAUAGGAUCAUCGGGAGGUUCAAGAGAAAGAGCAUAGUAGAAAUUAUUAAGUUCAAGGAUGGGUUGGAUAGCCGAAUCAUGGGAUUGGAAUGUUUGGAAAUCGGCUAUUGAAACUUCCUUUCCUUGUCUGGGAGAUGAUUCCUUCUCUAUCUCUAAGAUUUUUCUAUGAAGACUAGUACAAGAAAGAUGUCCACGAACGAAGACAUACCUUCCUUUACUAAUAGAUAAAGAAAGAAAGACUCUACCAAAGGUUAUAUGAUUAAGACCAAUGUGAAAAUAUCUAGGAAAAACAUGGUCUUGUAGGGCUAGGUCUAAACCAGAAUUUAUAGAAAGAUUAAAAGAUUCCCUAGGUGUAGCUAAAAGUGCAUUAUCUUCUUGAUUAAAAGAUAGGACCUCAGCUAUAGAAAAGGGUUGGUUUUGACCUAUUGCAAUCAACUCCGGACAGAGAUCAUAAUUAGGGGCAGGACGUGUUGACUCCCAUGGUCUAUGGCUGGUCUCCGAAGGUGCAAAGAAUUUAAUUAUAGGUAUGGAAUUUGAGUUAUCCAUAAAGAUAAAAAUAAAAGGAUAAAAGUAUAAAAGUAUAAAAGUAUAAUACAAGAUAAUAGCAAGACUCAAAGUUAUCUCAGCAAACCGUCUUUGUCCCCGGCAACGGCGCCAGAAAUGCUUGUUGAUAUUUGGUAACGCAAUUAGAAAAUGAUCCGCAAGCGCACGGAUAUCGGUGAGCAUUUCACCCGGGAGGUUAUCCAGAGUUAUCGUAUUUAUAUUUUUACCACUGGGAGAAAGGGUGCAUCGGACUAACCAAAUCUAUUGCUACUAUCCCUUUAGGCUACAAAGAAUGUCUCUCGAUGUGAGUGAUGUAUAGAGAAGACUGCAACCGUAGUCUCAUUCUAACCUUGGUAAGGAUGAUCUACUGUUCUAUUGGGGAGGCUCACGGAAUCUAGACAACACAAAGGAUGUUCGACCCGCACCUAUAAACCUACCCGUCCAGCUAACGAGAUGUGAUCUACAAAGGUAACUCGGAAAUGUCACGUUCCUCGCUACUACCACGGUCCAGCUAGUUAGGGGAUAUCUAUGAGUACCCUAGCCUAAACACCACGUUUACGCUAACAAGUGAUUACUCUAAUACUCAACCGGAAGAGGAUUAAAGUAAACUCAUAAACCAAAGAACAAUAAAACAAGAACUUACUAGUAUUAGAAGUCGAAUUACUGAAGAAUCUUAGAAGCAAGCCUCGAGUUAGGAGACUUGAUCCCGUAGGUACAACUCGGAGUAGACACCGACACGCCGGCCUUCCUCCAAUCCACACCUCCACUCUAUCUCUCUCAAUCUAGUAGAAACUAGAAGAUCUAUUUCUACUUUACAUUGGUUGCUAAGCCUAAAAAGAAAUAUUAUUUAGAGAAGAGGUUUUCCUUCGAGGGCACCCCUCAAUCUCUAUGAUAAUUUCUUGUCUCCUCUAGGGGCCAGGGGGCCUUGCUUAUAUAGUCCUCCCCUUCUAUGCGUUUUUGGGUCGAUAGGCGAGGUGGUACUAUGUUUUUCUUGAUCCAAUAGGUCGGUGGAAUAUCCUGAGCGAAAGAGUCCUGAUUUGGCUCCAACGGGGGGCGGGCGCCCAGGCUACCAGGGCGGGCGCCCUGGGCCUGGCCCCUUUCGGGCUCCGCUUCCUUCCCGUGGCUUCUGGAGUCUUCUAGAUGGUAGAAAAUUGCGCGGUGGGUUGAUAUCUCUAUGUAAUCCCCGACAUGUGGGCCUUUCUUCCUUAUUUCCUGAUAACCCCCUGCAGAAAUAGACAAACACCAAAACUCGUGGAAUUCUGUCAGAUAAAACCCUAAGUCUAGAUGUUGAUUUUAUUUGGAUCCUUUUCUUUGUUUAUUUGAUAAUUAAAUUUGAUACUUAAGGACCGUCAACAAUGAUGACGGGCGAUUCCCCUCCCUUAGCAACCUGUUUCUACGUCAUGGGGGGUCGCUCGAGACUGUCCAAGAGCUCAUCCGGGGUGUCAAGGCGCGCACGGAGGAGGAGAUGGAAAACUGGUGCCCUGAUCGGAUCCGCAUUCGGGCCUCCACCGACCCAUCUGAGCCUAACAUCUUUAUGGAUGAUCGGAAGGAGGCCGAAAAGUGGGAACAUCUCGAGGAGCUUCGCCUCUGGAUGAAGCACGUGGUGGGGCUCCUGUCUGACAUCGUCAACAACGGGCUCGGUCCAGCUUAUUUUGUAAGUGUCCUUGGACCUUAAUUUCCAUAGGACGUUUAGUUUUCUAUUCUCACUGUUCAACCGCUGGCUCACAAGAUCUGAAAGAGACCUCCCGCAUAAAGUUGAGUUUUAUCCACGUGAUGAGGGGCGGCUGGGAGCAACUCCCUCUUCUCAAGGACCAACUCCUCGAGUCGCAGGAGAAUCUCCUCAAGGCCUACAAAGAGCUUUUGGCGCUCGAGGAGGAGAAAAAGGAGAGGGAGGCCGCUUUGGCCGAAGCUCGAGAGACCUCGAGGAAGGCGGUGGAAGAGGCCACACGGCUGAGGGAGUGAAUUAUGACGGUCGAGGAGGUUGCAUCCAACGCCCGUUAAGAGGCCGCGUUCUAUAAGGAAGCCGCCACCGAUCUUGAUGAGGAAAAGGUCCUUAUCAAGGCUGACCUCGCCUCUGCCCGAGAAGCCUUCCAAGAGAUGAAGGUGGAGUGCGUGAAGGGCGAGAUUGCUCGGAGCGCCACAGAGGAGGCCAGGAAGAAGGCCCUCGAGGAUCUCGAGGCAGAACGGGCUCGAUCUCGCAGCCUCUCUGAUGACGUUGAUCGUCUAAAGAGAGCGCUGCUGGAGAAGGAGGGAGCUAUCGCGCAGGCGGGCAAGGCGAUCGAGGACUUGCGGGUCGCCAACACCGACCUGGCCCGCUCUAACAGGGAGGUGAAGAGGGCCAACACCGAUUUGGUUGGUCAAAACACUGCUCUGGAGGAGAGGAUUCGUGGUAGGCUUCUUUAUACCUCUUUUUGCAAGGUAUUUUUUGGUGUCGUCUAAUUUCUAUGCAUCGGUCUCCGCAGGGCUUAAGGACGAGCUUCUGGCUGUUCAGGUCGAGGCUCGCUCCGCCAAGGGUCGGCUUGAGGGGGAGGUUGCAUUGAACGGUCGAUUAAGGACCGCGAUAAAUGACCUCUCAGUCUCCUGGGAGCUCGAGCCUACGGAUGAGUCGAAGGAGGAAGCUCGAGGCGACGCGUUGGUCGAUCAGCUGUGCUACCUAGGCGCGACGCUGAGAGAUCGAGUGCGUGAUGCUCUUCAUACCGGGGUGAAGCGGGCAAUGGCGGUUGUCUGCUCAGGCUUUUCUUAUGAUAUGGAGGUGGUGUCCCACGGCUUCAUCACCGACAUCUCCAAAACCGACGCAGAGAACGAGGAGAGGCUCCACGCCUUGAUCGACGAUGCGGAGGCCCCUGGGGAAAGGUUGGCGAAGUUGUUCGAGCUGGAAGUCCUUCCUCCCGAGACUAGCUCGGGCGCGGACGAUGGUGGUGAGGGCCGAGACACAGACUGAGGCCUGCGAGCCUAUUCUGGGUGUUGAGGCCCCUUGUAUAGUACUUUUUAUCUUAAGGAAAUGUUAUGUCUUUAAGUGGUUUAUGAGAUCUGUGAAUAUCUGCUAACUUUUGUGCUUGGAAUUCCUUUGCUUCCUCGUUUGGUUUUUUUGUUAAGGCGACCUUGAUUGCCUCGAGGGUGAGGGAGCGAGUAGAGUUACCGUAGCCCGGGGGCGUAGGUGUUCUCAGGCUCGUCAUCUCUCGGCCCUUAAGGGGCUCGAGGUGCCUUUACUACUCGACCGUGUGAGGCAUACUUAAAGGAAAAAAUCGUUCGGUUUUUAGGAACUUUCGGGGGGGUCCCCCUGCUAGCCCCCGAGGGGGUAUCGACUAUGAUGGGUCAUAGUUGGUACUCCCUUCUAACGUCGAGAUUUUGACCAAUGGAAAAGUAAAUUACUCGAGGGAAAGAUCUCAUUCGUUCAUGCAUUCAUUCAUAAAAUCUUGGUACAGAAUGUACAUGGGAACAUAAAGCUUUUUGUUGGGUAUUUUAAACGCAAACAGAAAAAUCCGCAAGCGCACGGAUACCGAUGUAGCUUUCACCCGGGAGUAUUCCAGAGUAUCGAUUUUCCACAGAGAACGUGAGUGUACUAAUUAAGAUCCAAGAUCGCCCAAGGAUAACUAUAUAAUUAUUUUUGGUGGGAAGAGAGGAAGUUUCCUGAAAGUUCUCUAGUUGAUCUAAGAAUCAAGAAUUACUUCAAGAUUAUCUAUUUUGGGACAUCAGAGCACUAACCACAGAAAGAGAUGAGAAGGGGGCUAGGAAGGUCUGGCUACGGUCCUACAAACACCGAUCCGAACGAGGUGGAAUACGUCGACCGUUAGGGCUGUCACUACCCUAAGGCUACCACAACAAUCCGCAGGAUUGGGUGCAAUUCCAGGUAAUUGCAAGACUAAACACCACGUCUAAUCUAUUAAUUACUACUCUAAUGUUGCAAAGAUUAGAGCACUUGAUGCAAGCGGGAAUCCAAUAAAUAACUUGAAUGUAAAUGAAAGUAAUUAAAGAACUCAGGAAUUAUGAGUUGAAGAACCUGGAGAACGAUGAAGAACGAACCAGUUGCUGCAAAAGUACAAUGUUGAGGAAGAUCGAACAUAUCCGGCUCCUCCUCCGCUCUCCUCUUCUCUCUCCCUAUUUUCUAGAUUACAACUAGAACUAGAACUAGAGGAACUAGAACUAGAACUAGAUGAACUAGAACUAGAACUAGAUGAACUAGAGGUAGAACUAGAAGAACUAGAGGGAUCCUCUCUACUUGUAUGAAGAAUUGAAACCCUAACUUUGAUUCUGUAGAAGAGGUAUGAUCUCCAGGGGCCAAGGGGCCUUGCUUAUAUAGUCUUUUCAGAUGAAUCUGGGCCGUCGGAUCAAACCGACAUUAAUCGCACGGUUUUCUUUGAUCCCUUAGGUCGGUGGAGCAUAAUCGGCGAACGUGUCCUAAUUGGACUCUGGAAGUGGGCGGGCGCCCUCAGGACUAGGGCGGGCGCCCUGUCCGUGAGCCCUCUCGGCUUCCGCUUUGUUCCCGACGUGUGGGCCUUUCUUCCGUAUUUCCUGAUAACCCCCUGCAGAAAUAGACGAACACCAAAACUUGUGGAAUUCUGUCAGAUAAAACCCUAAGUCUAGGUGUUAGAUGCAUUUGGAUACUUUUCCAUGAUUAGUUGAUGGUUAAAUGUGAGCAUUAAGAACCGUCAAAAAGCUCCCCCAAGCUUAACCUUUGCUCGUCCCUGAGCAAAGAUGAACUCAAGAGUUUCUGCAGUGGUUUCAUGCUUUAAAGGUACAUAUGCGUUCAAACAAGAUCUCAUCUCUGGGUUAGGCUAAAUUGUUAAGAUUUAAUCUUACUCAUUUUACCUUCCACCAUGGGGCUUGCAACCAUCACUUGUAUCUUGAGCAGUUAAAAGAUAGAACGGUCUAGUCAAGCGCCAUGUCUCUUGUUCUUCGAUUAACUAUAGCUCUGGUUUUUUUCAGAUUCUCAAAUAAAACUCAGAGAUUCCUUGUAUGACUCUCUCUAGUCUCUCUUUUGUGGUAUUUCUGGAUCCUUACCAAGGCAGUAAUGGUGUAUGCCUACUCUCAAAGUAUGUGGUAUUGUUGGUAUGAGGCAUAGUGGCAUUGCCUUCUCUCUCACCCUACUCUAAUAAGGUUGUGAUAUCUGGAGCUCAUAGGUGGGAGACAGCUAAUACAUACUUACAAAACAUUUAUUGCAUAGUCAAACUAUGGAUCGAAAGAAACAAGUCAAUAAGUCAAAUCAAGAUGUGCAUGUGUGACGAAUGAAUGGUGUAUGGUGAUGAUGGUGAUAACAAUGGUGAAAGUCUAAUUCUACUUGUUCUCUUUUGAGGGGAUACAUACCUUUCUUGCUCUUUUGAAACUUUUUGAGGAGAAUGAGAUGCUCUAUAUUUUCUUUUUCUUUCCUCUCAGGUGGGUAUCUUGUACCCCUAAUUCUACUGUCGGACACUUGUCCUUUUUUACCUCUCGUCUCACUUUUUCUUUUCUUUCGAGGUUCCGGGCACUUGCCCCUUUUUAUUUCCUCGUAUUCUUUCUUUUUUUUCUCUCUCUCUUUUUUUAGAGCACUCAUCUCCUGAAAUAAUAUAGCAAGUGGUAGUAACCAAAAUAACUUGAGCAUUUAUUUCACAGGGAAAAACAGAAAUUUUUUUGGCUAUUCUCUCCCGGAUUAGGAGUAGAAUAUUUUUAGGUGAUUCUGGAGACGGAAAUGGGUGGAUAUAUGUGGAUGCGUACUUUCGGAGUAGAAGCAGCAUGUGUGAGUGAACGUGCAAGUGAAUCUUGAUUUAACCACAUGACAAGCUCCUAAGGGUCUACACAGCUUGACCACACUCAAUGCUCAUAAGCAGUAAAAAGUAAAUGUGUGGCUCAAAGUUUAGCAAGCAUGUAUAUAUGGCUGUGGUAGGAAUUUAAACUCUCAUUAUACAGGAACUCAUCAUGCAACAUUUUAAAGAUUUUCAAAGAUAAAAUUCUCUAGAAUUCUAGCAUCUCUAGGAAGAGAUAAACAACAGCUUAACCUUCCCAUAUCAUAUCCGUUAACAACUUAGACUUUAGAUCAAGUACUCUUCCCACGUUUAGAGCAAAUCUUAAUUAAUAACAGUCAUGCCUAAACUUGAGAGAGAUUUCAAUUUUGAGAACUAGUCAUGGCAGAGCAACUAUUCAUCAUUUCCAUGUAAGAGCUUAUCAUGAGGGUUCAUAGCAAACUUAAUUUAUUUAUUUAUUUAGCAAACUAAGCAAAGAUAUAUAUAUAUAAGCACAAAAUCUUUAUUUGGGUUUUUAUGAUUAUGCAUCUUUUUAUUAUUUGAGUAAAGUAUAACCUUGAGUAGAACACUUAGCUGGAUAAAUGAGGGUGCUCUCCCCCAAGCUGGAUUUUGCCAUAAUUCUUUCUGAUGUAGCUAGCAGGUGGUGGAGGUAUAUUUGAAUGUUGGCAGCACCCUGACAGCGAUUAGGAUGUCCUUCGUCUGAUAGUCUUCUUUGAUCCUUGAAUUCUGUGGAGCUCAAAUAGACAACAAAGCUUUGUGGAACUGGUUAAGUGUUAGCAUAAAUAUCUAGCCUUUAUCAUGUUGAGCCUCCUCAAUAAAUGUUACACUCUUUGGUAGGAUCAUAAAUUUAUUUUUAUAUUUUCAUUUUUAUAACACAUAAAUAUAUUUAUUUUAUUUUUAUGCCACCACAGUGAAUGUACUUAUGGGUUUUAUGCCAUGAGCAUACUCACAUGGGGCUUACUAUUUAACAUUUUUAUUUUCUUUUCAAGAUGAUAUGAACCUGAUUAACUAAGCAAACUAUUUUAAAAUAAUUGAAAGGAAAAGGAUAACUACCAAGUUUACCUCUUGGUAAGGCGUUCGGUGUUUUUAAAUCCUCCGAACGGGACUCUCCGCUUUCUCUGUCGUCCUGGGAUUCGCUGGAUGGCGUAGUCGGUGGUUCCGGCGGCGCCUGCUCUUCAUGUAUAACUAUCUUCUCUCUACACACCUGACUCGGUGCUACGGUCUCCUCAGGACAGUUCUGAUCAAGUUGUAUGUCUUCAGACCUUACCACUUCUCCUUCGUAGUUUGCCCAUCCGUCCUUGAUGAUUUGCCUCCUCUGGUUACGGUUGUGUCGUCUUCUUCUUGUCCUGACCGGCUUAGAGUCUUCAACUAUAUAGUUAGGGUCAGUAAAAUACCGGUGUACCUUCUAAGAGGGGAAGUGCAUGUGGACUUCUCCAGUUUCAAUGUAGAUGAUUGCUUUAACGGUGCUAAGGAACGGUCUUCCAAGGAUAAUGGGUGGAUCGUACUCGUCUUCAACCUUUCGGAAUGUCCGAUCUGCCAUCUAGAGCUGAAUGUAUGUCGGUUUUAGGGGCAUGGUUCCGAAUAGAAGCUGAUAGGUGGCUGCGGCCAUUAUGUUGACGCUUGACCCGGUGUCGCAAAGCGUCUUCUGGAAGUUGUAUCCAUUAAUGGAGCACUGGAUGCUUGGGAUACCUGAGUCGUCCUUUUUGGUCAGGAACGAUGAUUUAAGUCGACGAUCUUGACCUCCUUGAACUGCAGUGACCAUCUUAGCUGACUCGGUCCACAUUUGCUUGUUCCUGUUCCUCCUGUUGGUCCUCUACCUUGGUUCAUGUCGGGAUUGCUCUAAGAUUUGUGUAAUCUUGUUCUCGAAGGAAAACGUCUCCUUCCUUCCCUUGAUGUAGAGACUGAUCUUGGCAGCACUAGCGUAGAUGACAGCUCCCGAGGUGUUCAUGAAUGUCCUCCCUAGGAUGACGGGUGCCCUCUCAUCAGAACCAGUCUCUAUCACCACGAAGUCUGCUGGAGCGUAUAAGGUACCAACUCGGACGUAGAGGUUCUUCAAUAUUCCCUUUGGGAAACUUAGUGUCUGAUCCUAGGCAUAGUGUUGACGCUGGAGCCAAAGUCACAGAGUGCUUCUAGGAAGUCCACCAUGCCGAUGGAGAUCGGGAUGACGGGGCGUCCUGGAUUGUCUCUCUUGACUGGCAGAAGGUCAGUAAUUACUUCCACAACAGGGUUACUCUAGUAGUUACGUCCUCAAGCAUCUCAGGGCAGUGAUUGCCUGAGUGUCCAGUAUCUCCAGUGUGUUUGUGCUCGUAGAUCCAGGUUCUUCACCUGGUGGAGUCUGGGAGUUGUAAAAGUCCUUCAUAGUUUGCUUGAAGUGUACCUGCUCAUAGAGACAAGACAAAGAUCAAGUGCAUGGGUCCUGUUGGUGGAAAACACCAACAGAACCAAAAGUGUAUUUGUUAUUCUCUAACCUUAAGCAUAGUGAGCAAGACAAAGUUGAUGGAUAAUAAGAUCACGAGUGUAGCAUUUAAACAUUUGUCAGAUCAGAUCGCUCAACCUAAUGGAAAGAUAAUCUAUCUAUACUUAUGUAUUGUAUAUAUAUAUAUCUUCCCAAAGAUUGAAUGUGCAACAUUUUCGCUCAUAUGAUUAGGAGUGUGGGAUCACAAAGGUGGAAGGACUAAACAUGUUGAAUCGAUUGAGUUGGUUAAUCUAGAGUUGUAAAUCAUACAUGUUUGUCUCUUUUAUUCAUGUGAACGCCAGAAAUAAGGAGAAGCUUAUAAAAGUGAUAGUCAAGUACCUUAAGAUGUUACCUUACUUGAAGAGUGACGGUACAGUAUCACCUUGUGGAAGCUUUCCUUUCUUAGCGGUUGUGCAUCGUGUUUGUGGCACCCUCCAUGGAUCAUCUCUUGUGAGCUAUGCCUUCCUUGUGUAAAUUAUUAACCUUCAUGCGUCUCUCUCUUUGUCUCCAAUGUGAGUUUAUCUCAGGACUUCCCAGGUCGAUAUUGAAAGUUUUCCUGCAGGGGUUAGUCCAACAAAAUAUCCAAUAUCUACUAUAGCAUACUAUCGGCUCAAAGAUCAACCUAGACACCAUGUUUAAUUUGAUUUAGGAGGGCAUUUUAACCUAAGCAUCAUGCUUAAUUUAAACUCCCUUUGAAGUAAGAUCAUCAGCCCUAAACUAAGCACCAUGCUUAAUUAAGAGAUAAAUGAAACUACUCCAAACCUAGACAUAUACUAAAGCAAAUAAAGGUAGCAUAAGAGCAUUUAUAGAGAUCUACUCAAGUGGAGAUGAAGUAGUGUGAUUAGUAUUUAACAAAUUGAGCAUGUCUCAAAGGUAGGGACAACCAACAUAGCAACAUGGCAAAGGAUAUUUUUAUGUAAAGUACUCCCCCAAGUUUGAAUUUUGCAAAAUUCAAGUUUAGAUGAAUUUAAUUCAAUGGUGUAUGAUGAUUGGUUGGACAUACCUUCUGCUUGUCAUUCAUCCGAUCUUCUUGCUCCAAUCCUGGAAAGGUUAGUGACAAGAAUACCCGAAGGAAUUUUUUUUACAAUUAUCCUUAUAUGCUCAAUACACAAGGUAAUGUUGCAAAUAAUAAAAAGCUCAUGUUACGAUCUGAUCAAUGCUUAUUUUAGGACACUAAGCUUGUCCUUAGGAAACCAUCAAUUUAUGUCGGCGAAGUGGUUUCCCCUCCAACGCUGACCUAUAUCAAGAUCAACUCAACGAGAUCUGCAAUAUUUAAUAUAGACAUAUGCAUCGACAACCGCCCUUUUAAAGUUUUUAUAAAUAGAAAGGACGAGGGGGUUGGAGAUCUCGAAUGUGGUGAUUUUGGAGAGACCAAAAGAUUGGGAAGAUGUUGCAUAUGAGCAUGGAGUAAACGAAGUGGCUAUGAAAUACAUUCCAUGCUCAUUAAUGCUUGGAGUGAAAUCCAUGUGGUGUGGUGAAAAUGGUAAGGUGAGUGUGGUAAAAAGAAAAGAAAAAGGAUACACGGACGACUUGGUUCGAAACUAGCACAGCUACCGUUCCCCGGCAACGGCGCCAGAAAGCUUGUUGGGUAUUUGAAACGCAAACAGAAAAAUCCGCAAGCGCACGGAUACCGAUGUAGCUUUCACCCGGGAGUAUUCCAGAGUAUCGAUUUUCCACAGAGAACGUUAGUGUACUAAUUAAGAUCCAAGAUCACCCAAGGAUAACUAUAUAAUUAUUUUUGGUGGGAAGAGAGGAAGUUUCCUGAGAAUUCUCUAGUUGAUCUAAGAAUCAAGAAUUACUUCAAGAUUAUCUAUUUCGGGACAUCAGAGCACUAACCACAGAAAGAGAUGAGAAGUGGGCUAGGAAGGUCUGACUACGGUCCUACAAACACCGAUCCGAAUGAGGUGGAAUACGUCGACUGUUAGGGCUGUCACUACCCUAAGGCUACCACAACAAUCCGCAGGAUUGGGUGCAAUUCCAGGUAAUUGCAAGACUAAACACCACGUCUAAUCUAUUAAUUACUACUCUAAUGUUGCAAAGAUUAGAGCACUUGAUGCAAGCGGGAAUCCAAUAAAUAACUUGAAUGUAAAUGAAAGUAAUUAAAGACUCAGGAAUUAUGAGUUCAAGAACCUGGAGAACGAUGAAGAACGAACCAGUUGCUGCAAAAGUACAAUGUUGAGGUAGAUCCAACAGAUCCGGCUCCUCCUCCGCUCUCCUCUUCUCUCUCCCUAUUUUCUAGAUUACAACUAGAACUAACUAGAACUAGAACUAGAGGAACUAGAACUAGAUGAACUAGAACUAGAUGAACUAGAACUAGAACUAGAUGAACUAGAGGUAGAACUAGAAGAACUAGAGGGAUCCUCUCUACUUGGAUGAAGAAUUGAAACCCUAACUUUGAUUCUGUAGAAGAGGUAUGAUCUCCAGGGGCCAGGGGGCCUUGCUUAUAUAGUCUUUUCAGAUGAAUCUGGGCCGUCGGAUCAAACCGACAUUAAUCGCAUGGUUUUCCUUGAUCCCUUAGGUCGGUGGAGCAUAAUCCGCGAAACGUGUCCUGAUUGGACUCUGGAAGUGGGCAGGCGCCCUCAGGUCUAGGGCAGGCGCCCUGUCCCUGAGCCCUCUCGGCUUCCGCUUUGGUCCCGUGGCUUCUGGAGUCUUCUAGAUGAUAGAAAAUUGCGUGGCACGUUAAUAUCUCUAUGUAAACCCAACGUGUGGGCCUUUCUUCCGUAUUUCCUGAUAACCCCCUGUAGAAAUAGACAAACACCAAAACUCGUGGAAUUCUGUCAGAUAAAACCCUAAGUCUAGGUGGUAGUUGCAUUUGGAUCCUUUUCCAUGAUUAGUUGAUGGUUAAAUGUGAGCAUUAAGAACCUCAACACUUUUGAACUCUAGGGGUAGAAUCGACGUAGCUGUUCGAUGUUCCACGCGUUGGUGAAGACUGCCCCUUUUUCGUCCGCGAGCUUGUAUGUCCCUGGCUUUAGGACCUCAGCCACCACGUAUGGGCCCUCCCAGGGCGGAGUCAGCUUGUGGCGCCCUUGGUUGCUUGGCACCACCGUAGGACAAGAUCGCUCACGUUCAGAUCCCUUUUGCGCACGUGCUUGUCGUGGUAGUGUCGAAGCUUCUGCUGGUAUCUGGCGGAGUUGAGGAGGGCCAUGUCUCGAGCUUCCUCGAGCUGGUCGACCGCGUUCUCUCGAGUCUCCUUAUUUGUCUGCUCGUUGUAGGUUUUGAGUUGAGGGGACCCAUACUCGAGGUCUAUUGGAAGCACGGCCUCGGAGCCGUAGACCAUGAAGAAUGGGGUGUAUUUCGUGGCCCUGCUAGACGUCGUCCUUAAGCUCCAUAGGACCGAAGAGAGCUCUUCGACCCAUUUCUUGCCGAAUUUCUUCAACCGGUUGUAGAUUCUUGGUUUGAGCCCCUGCCAUAUCAUGUCGUUGGCACGCUCGACCUAGCCGAUAGUUCGAGGGUGGGCUACUGCGGACCAGUUCACACGGAUGUGAUGUCGGUCACAGAAGUCCAAGAACUUUUUGCCGGUGAACUGGGUGCCGUUGUCGGUGAUGAUGACGUUGGGAAUCCCAAACCGGUGGAUGAUGUCGGUGAAGAAGAGGACGGCCUGCUCAGAGCGGAUGUUCGUGAUGGGUCGGGCCUCGAUCCAUUUGGAGAAUUUGUCGACGGCCACCAGCAAAUGGGUGUAUCCUCCUACUGCUUUCUGUAGAGGCCCUACGAGGUCGAGACCCCAUACCGCGAACGGCCACGUGAUGGGGAUCAUCUGAAGAGCAAGGGCGGGAAGAUGCGUCUGCUUGGCGUAAAAUUGGCACCAGUGGCAUGAGCGUACGAGCUCGAUGGCGUCGGCUACGGCUGUUGGCCAGUAGAAGCCUUGUCGGAAUGCGUUCCCCACGAGGGUCCGCGGAGUAGCGUGGUGGCCGCAAGCCCCCGAGUGUAGAUCCUCGAGGAGUUUUCGGUCUUCUUCUAUAGUGAUACAUCGCUGUAAGAUUCCUGUCGGGCUUCGUCGGUAUAGUUCCUUAUUUUCACCGUAGAUUACGUAUGAUUUGGCCCGUCGAGCGAUAUGGUGGGCCUCGGAUCGGUCUUCUGGUAGCUCGCAUCGAAUCAGGCAGUCGAGGAACGGCCUGCGCCAGUCGAACGGUCGACCGGGUCGCUGUUCAGCUUCCAUCACUUCUGCCGCUACCAGCAGGGCGUCGAUGGAGUCAGUUUGUCGGAGGGUGGUGGUCUCGACGUCAGCCCCCGAGCCCAAGUUGACCGAUGGUUCGUGCAAAUCCCUCGAGAACGCGUCGGGCGGGACCGUGCCUCGAGUCGAGCGAUCUUGGCGAGUUCGUCGGCUGCCUCGUUGUAGCGUCGGGCGAUGUGGAUGAGCUCGAGGCCAUGGAACUUGUCCUUGAGCCGUUGUACUUCCUUACAAUAUGCUUCCAUUUUUGGGUCGUGGCAGUUUCAAGCUUUCAUCACUUGGUCGAUGACGAGUUGGGAGUCACCUCGAACGUCAAGGCGCCGGACUCCUAGCUCGAUGGCGAUCUUUAGCCCAUUGACAAGGGCCUCAUAUUCCGUGACAUUGUUGGAUGCAGCAAAAUGUAUUCUGAUGACAUACCUCAUAUGGACACCGAGGGGCGAGACGAAUAGCAGUCCCGCCCCAGCUCCCGUCUUCAUGAGAGACCCAUUGAAGUACAUCGUCCAUAGCUCCGCUUGAACUUGAGCUGGGGGGAGCUGCGAGUCCGUCCAUUCUGCGACGAAAUCCACCAGAGCUUGAGACUUGAUGGCUUUGCGGGGCGCAUAAGUGAGGGUCUCACUCAUGAGCUCGACCGACCAUUUGGCGAUUCUUCCCGUGGCCUCCCGACUUUGGAUGAUCUCACCCAAGGGAAAGGACGAGAUCACCGUGAUAGGGUGGCCGAGGAAGUAGUGUUGCAGCUUGCGUCGGGCGAGGAUCACUGCGUAGAUUAGUUUCUGGAUCUGUGGGUACCGUGCCUUGGUUUCUGAGAGUACCUCGCUGACGAAGUAUACCAGCCUCUGGACUGGCAGCGCAUGCCCUUUUUCCUGCCUUUCGACCACUACUGCCGCACUGACCAUCUGGGUCGUCGAGGCAACGUAUAGAAGGAGAGGUUCUGUGGGCUGAGGCGGGACCAGGACUGGGGCAGAGGUCAGUGUUUUCUUCAGGUUAUCAAGGGCUUCCUCGGCUUCGGGGGUCCAAUAGAAAUGCUUGGUUUUUUUCAAGAGCCGAUACAGUGGCAAUGCCUUUUCUCCCAACCUUGAGAUAAAACGACUUAGCGCCGCCAAACAUCCCGUGACUUUCUGCACUCCCUUGACGUCUCGGAUCGGCCCCAUUCUCGUGAUGGCCGAUACUUUCUCGGGAUUGGCCUCGAUGCCGCGUUAGGAAACUAUGUAUCCCAGGAGCAUGCCUCGAGGUACGCCAAAGACGCAUUUCUCGGGGUUGAGCUUGAUCUUGUUGGCGCGCAGGCAACUGAAAGCGAUCUCGAGGUCCCGGAUCAAGUCUCCUUGUUUCUUCGUCUUGACGAUGAUGUCGUCAACGUACGCCUCGACCGUCGACCCUAUAUGCUUGCCAAAUACGUGAAGCAUGCAUCGCUGGUAUGUCGCCCUAGUAUUUCGAUGCCCGAACGGCAUGGUCACAUAGCAGUACAUCCCAAAAGGCGUAAUGAAAGACGUCGCGAGCUGGUUGGAUUCUUUCAUUUUUAUUUGAUGGUAACCAGAGUAUGCAUCAAGGAAAGAAAGGGUUUCACAUCCCGCGGUAGAAUCAACAAUUUGAUCGAUACGUGGUAAUGGAAAAGGAACUUUCGGACAUGCUUUAUUUAAACUUGUAUAAUCGACACACAUCCUCAUUUUCCCGUUCUUUUUCUUAACUAAUACAGGGUUUGCUAACUAGUCGGGAUGGUGAACCUCCUUGAUGAAUCCGCCCGUCAAAAGCUUGUGGAUCUCCUCACCAAUGAUCUUGCGUUUCUCCUCGUCGAAGCGACGCAACCGUUGUUUUACUGGCUUGGAACCGGCUCGAAUUUCCAAGGAGUGCUCGGUGACUUCCCUCGGUAUGCCUGGCAUGUCUGAGGGACUCCAUGCAAACAUGUCGGCGUUUGCACGGAGAAAGUCGACGAGCACGGCUUCCUAUUUGGGGUCGAGGUCGGUGCUAAUCGUCACCACCUUGCCGUCGGAGCCGUUGGGGUCGAGUGGGAUCUUCUUCGUUCCUUCUGCCAGCUCGAAGUUGCCCGCGUGAUGCUUGGGCUCUGGAGCCUCUGUGGCCAGGGCCUCAAGCUUGGAGGCGAGCUCGGUGGAGUUCUCGACAGCUUCCCCGUAUUCGACGCACUCGACGUCGCAUUCGUAUGCGUGCUCGUAGGAGGAGCUGACGGUGAUAACCCCCUUGGGCCUGGACAUCUUUAGCUUUAGGUAGGUGUAGUUGGGGACAGCCAUAAAUUUGGCAUAGCCCAGACGUCCGAUGAUGGCGUGGUACGUGCCUCGGAAUCCCACCACCUCGAAGGUGAGGACCUCCUUUCUAAAAUUGGCUGCCGUGCUAAAACAGACCGGUAGGUCGAUUCGACCUACCGGCAGCGCCUUCUUUCCAGGCACGACACCAUGGAAACCGCCCGUGCUUGGUUGGAGCUGCAUCCUUUUGAUGCCGAGGAGGUCGAGGGUCUCGAGGUAGAUGAUGUUCAGGCUACUGCCGCCAUCCAUCAGUACCUUCGAGAGUCUGGCGUUGAUGAUGAUGGGGUCGACGACAAGUGGGUAGACGCCAGGGGCGACUACUUUGUCGGGAUGGUCGUCUUGAUUGAAGGUGAUGGGGGUGCUUGACCAGUUAAGGUACUUGGGUACCGCCAUCCUUGCCACAAAGACCUCACGGCGCUCUCUCUUGCGCUGCCUUGCAGUCAGCUGCGUCGAGGGUCCGCCGUAAAUCAUGUAGCAGUCAUGGACAGCCGGGAAACCCUCGUCUUCUUUGUCGUCCCCCUUGCCACUGCUCUUUUCUUUCUUCUGGUCGUCCUUCUUGAACCCUAGGCUGUCGAAAUGCCUCUUCAGCAUACGACAGUCCUCGAGCUUGUGGUUCGCCCCUCCCUUAUGGUAAGGGCAGGGCUCUUUCAGCAUCAUGUCGAAGAUAGCUCCUUCAGGGGGGCCUCGAGGUCUUUUACGAUCCAUGGCGGCGACGAGGUCGUCGUCGGAGGCCUCCCAUUGGAACGGCCGUGCUUUCUUCUUGUUGUUGUUCUUCUUGGGUCCUCGACUGGGGCACUCAUCGUCAUCGGCUGGCGACUUGCCUUUGCUCCUUUCGCAACUGAAGAAAGCACCGACCGCUUCCUCCCCUGCCACGUAGUUAGCCACCACGUCCAUCAGCUCGUUGACGGUCUGAGGGCGAUUCCGGCCUAACUCCCGCACCAAAUCUCGGCCGAGACAAAGGCCAGGAUGACGUCGUGGUCUGGGAUGUGCGGCAGCUCGGUGCGCUGCUUCGAGAAGCGUCGAGCGUAGUCUCAGAGAGUUUCUCCUGACUUCUGCUUGCACUUGCUGAGGUCCCACGAGUUGCCGGACCGUAUGUCGGUCCCCUUGAAGUUACCCUCGAAUACUCUGACCAAAUCGACCCAAUCGUGGAUCUGGUUGGUCGGGAGCUCCUCGAGCCAUCUACGGGCGGUGUCGGAGAGAAAGAGCGGUAACUGUCGAAUGAUAGCUCGAUCGUCCCCUCGAGCGCCUCCCAACUGACAGGCUAACCGAAAGUCUGCCAACCACAGCUCUGGCUUGGUCUCGCCGUUGUAUUUAGCAAUGCUAGUCGGGGGUCGAAACGGGCUGGGUUGUGGCAUGCUGCGGAUUGCUCUGCUGAACACGCGAGGGCCCGACGGUUCCGGGGCCAUCCGGUCCUCGUCGCUGUCGUACCGCCCACCGCGGUGGGCGCUGUAAUCGCGUUCCUCUAUGUCUCCAUAUCGACGGCAGCGGUGCUCGUUGAUGUCGCGUCAUGCGUCGUGCCGCCGUUGAUUGUUGACGUGGUGGUCGAGGACAAGUGCCGUCUUCUUCCCUCGAGGGGGUGGUUGCUGAUGGACCGAUACCUCCUUUUCGUUCUGGGCCGGCUCCUCACGCUUUUCCGUGGCUGCUCCUCGACGUUGAGAGGCUGAGCUCUCGGCCUGCUGAACUGCCGCUACUUGGAGAAGAGUCUGUACCUCAUCUCGAAUUCGCCGGGCCUGGGAGUUCGAGGGCUCACGCAUGUUGCGUAGCAGCAUUGUUGCUGCGACGACGUUGUGGCCCGCUCGGGGGAAACGACUGACGGGCUGCUCCGGCUCCUCGUCUCCGACGAUCUGUUGAUGCACUUCUCGGGCCCGUCUGCGGACACUUCCGCCAGGUGGGUAUGGUUGGUCCUGCUCGAGAAUCUGUUUGAGCAGGACGAGGCGCUCGCGAUCUUCGUCGAGCUUUGUUUUGAGCUCCCGUAGCUGCGCGAGUUGCGCGGCUCUGUCUUCCUGUGACGGGGGGUCGACUCGGCCAUCGUUCCCAGGCGUCCUGGGGUCCUCCCUUGCCCUAGGGGCUCGACCGGCGGCAACGGCGUCUCGUGUUUCGUCGGUGGUUUCUACCACCCCGUCGAUGUGGAAGCAUUCCCUAGUAGGGUCGUAGCUGUCGGACUCUGAGUCAGAAUCUGGCUCAGCGGCGUAGAAGCAUCCACGUCCUUCCUCCAGCAGUCAUUGCCUGAGCGAGGUGAUUGUGUAUCGCCCAGGUCCUAGGCGGCGGAGGCCUCGUACCUAGGAGAAAUUCGGCAGUUCGGACGCCUGUUGCCGUGCUUCCGCGUCGCGUGGGAGGACCAUUGGUCGCUCUACGUAUGUCUGGGCGUUUGGACAUAUUGUCUUGGCGAGCCGCGGCGUUGUCCAGGCCGAACGGCAGCGCUCUUUUUGGGGUGAACAACCCGUGCGGGAGUAGCGUCGUGGAGGACGAGGGUGCGCAAGACGCGUUGUCUCCCAACGUUGUCACGCGAUCUUCGUGGCGUCGGGCCGUCAUACCAGCGAUUUCGGCGCGCGGGGCUGUCGGCUCCUGCACCACCCCCCGCCUGGCACGAACUGGCGAUCGUGAGGAGGCAGAGGAGUGGUGGUGCUGUCCACGCCUCUUCUUGGGCGGGGAGGCAUGGUGGCGAGGCCGUCUCGGAGCCCCUAAUCGUGCGGGCUUAAUGCGAGCUCCUCCCGGUCCUUUGACCGAGAGCAGGAUCAUGUCAUAACCGAAACCGGUAGACAUGAACUCGAGGCUCCCGAACCAAAUCACCGUGGAGCGCGGAAUCGGCGAAACAAGAGUGGCCAUCUGGAGAGGAAUGGGAAAUCGGUGAAAAAACACGCAGGACCCCUACCUGGCGCGCCAACUGUCGGUGUUUUCCCCCCGGGGGGUCACACCAACGAGUGAAACUAGUGCAUGUCCCCCUUUCCAGAUGGUGAUGCAAGAAAAGACACAAAGAUUUAUCCUGGUUCGGGCAAGAGAAGGCCCUACGUCCAGCGGGGAGGAGCGUUUGUAUUAUCUUGCACCUAAGUGCUUGUACAGGGGUGAAUACAAGUCCGGUGUGGGUGGAGAUGGAGUAUGGUGGCUCUUCAACGUAUGUCUCCUGUUGUCUAUCCGCUCCUGAGCUUCUCCUUUUAUAGUCCCAAGGGGAGGCCUAGGUUACAUGCAUAGGUGUCAGAGUAGGGGUCGAUAGGGGUGUGGCGCACUGACCUACUCGAGGUCUUCGUACCAGCGUGGCCUCGAGCCGUCUAGUCUUGGUACCUUGAUGAUGAUUACGCAUGCCCCUGAAUCCUUCUCCUGCGUGCCGUCCUGGACUGGUUUAUCCGUUGCACGCUUGUACAUCGUGGUGUCAGCUGCGUCAGUGUGGUUGGGGCGCCGUCCUUCGUCGCCCAACUCUUCUCUGGGAAGGAACACGCCUGCUCGAGGAUCCGGCGCCGUGCAAAGCUUUGUCGAGCAGAGCGCUGACUUUGGGCGUCUCGAAGGGGGUGUUGACGGGACGUUCCGCCACCUCGCUGCGCCCUGCCAUGCUCUGGCUUGUUUGGUGGGUAAGGCUGCAAAAAGAACGAUUGGACGGGUGCCUGUUCCCUAUCACGCUUCCCGUGACUGACGGGUUAGGUGAGAACGCGGCAGACGCAUUAAAUGCCCUGGUUCCCGUGCCUGCGUCAGACGGCGGGCGGCGUCCUUGCGCUCGAGGCCUUUCGAUUCGUACGAGCCUGUUUCCGUAUUCGACGGUAGCCGGCGCUCGAGCCCCAGUCGAUUCGCACGACGCUCUUUCCGUGUUCGAGGCUACGAACGUCCACAACCGUGCGUGCGGCCGGGGGGCGUCGAGUCAGGGGCCCUCGAUUUGCGUACGGGUGCUCUCGUCAUGUGCGUCGGUUAAGGUACCCCUUACUGAUACCUUCGACAUCAUGCAUGCCAGAGAUUUGAUGUGCUGAGAAGUCAAAAUUUUUGGAACUAAACCAGGCCUUAGUUUCACCCAAAAACCAAAAACAUUUUAAGAUUCCCCAUCACAUCAAAUCCUGCGGCACAUGUAUAGAGCAUUAUAUAUAAAAAACAAUAACUAAUUACAUAGUUUGCCUAUAAUUUGCGAGACGAAUCUUUUGAGCCUAAUUAGUUCAUAAUUGGACAGUCAUUAUCAAAUACAAAUGAAAGUGUUAUAGUAAAAAAAAAUCAUCCCCCCAACUAAACAAAGCCUUAGAGUGUAGACGACUUUAGAGAUGUGGUGUCGCCAUGUAGGCGUUUAGAGCUUGCUACAUAUGAUGGUUUAUAUAUACAGAUGAUGAUUUAUUGAUGUCAAAGAGCGUAAAAACAUUUUAUCUCUAGAUUUUUUUUUUUCAGUUUCUGUAACAAGCUGCUAUGAUCGUGUAGCAGAGAAGCUGUGAGCUGAAUGUUGAUGAUGGACAGGAAAGUCGACACUUGCAGUGAGGCCUUGUUCCUAAAAAUUUUCAAGAUUUUCCGUCACAUUAAAUCUUUGAACGCAUACAUAAAACAUUAAAUAUAUAUAAAAAAUAACCAAUUGCAUAUUUUACCCGUAAUUUGCGAGACGAAUCUUUUAAGACUAGUUAGUCCAUAAUUAGACAAUAGUAAUUGUUUACAAACGAAAGUACUACAGUAUCCAAACCCAAAAUUUUUCACCAACUAAACAAGGCCUGAAUUAUUUUUGACUUUUGAGAAUAGUGUGAACAUGUCACCAUGCAGUUCUAGAGUGUGAGAACAAGGUCAUUAUGUUUUAUUUGAUUUAUGAAAAAAAUAUAAAUUAUAUUACAUUAGAUAUAUAAAUAUAUUAAUAUGUCAUUCAUAUUAUUCAUGGUUUUAAAAAAUAUUGUAACCAUGAUCUUCUUAUUUAUGCUUGAUUUUUAUCUAUCAGCAAGCAACAUAAUGGAUACAUAAAUCAUAUCUACAUGACUACAUAAAGCAUUAAAGAAUCAACAUACCCUUAAACAUCGCAGUCAUAGCAUCACUUGUGGGCUCCAUUUUAGUACAAAUAAAAAGAGAGGAAAGCAUGUAUAUACGUGUCGAUCCGUUGCUUUUUGUGUUAGAAGUUGUGUUAGCCUCAAGAGAAAAUACUUGAAGAAGCACCGGGUGAACAUGAUUUGCUCUAGAAUUUUUUAGCAUCACCUCAAACAAGCAUUGCUUGCCAUAGUAUAGUACAUGUGAUGCCCUAAUAUACUCUCUCCUCUUUUGGCAUCACGUAAGCGCAACAUUGUGGAGGCCCUCCAUAGUGUGAAGUGGUGCCGUAAAAAAAAGCAAAGGCCACCGUAGAAAGUGUACUCGAUGUCUAAAAUGUUGUAGUGUGAGAUCCCUAUAAGACACACACCAUAAAGUAAUGUGUCUGUCGAUAUAAUUUGGUGUUACAGAGAGAAUCGAUGAAGCAAAGAAAUUAUUAUUCUAUUUAGUUGGCACUAAUUGACACCGAGGCAAGUUGUUGCUUCACUCCUCAUUUUUUGAUAUGGAGCUAAAUCACUGGCUAUGGCGUGUGAAAUGAUUCUUCAAUCAUCUCUGUCCUAUUUUAGCACCACUGAAGGCCCAUAUUAUGGAGGGUCUUAGUACGUUAGCACCCAUCGCCAAGACACCAAAUCAUAGGUACCGUCCUACUCUAGUUAGUCGAUGAUAAUGUUGGUUUUUCGAAUUUUAGAGCCCCAUUGUAUUUCAUUCAGGGGUCUCCAAAUCAUAGGUAUUGUCGAUAAAAUAUGGCCGUCGGUCUAUUUAGGGGUAUGCCUAAGGUAGUAGAUUGUCGACAGAUAUGUGCACAAGCUACGAACUAGAUGGUGACGCAAGACACACACAAGAAUUUUAUCCAGGUUCGGCCGCCGUGAGGGCGUAAUACCUAUGUCCCGCGUCUAAUUGUAUUAAUGAUGAGUUGAGUUGAGAGGAGUCCCUUGCCCCAUCUUAUAUAGUCCGGGGAAAAGGUUACAAAUAUAGAAACUAAUCUUAGUCACUUACGAUUGUCAUAGAUAAUUAGAUAUCAAUUUCUAUUCCAACUAAUAAGGAUCUUGCUUGAUUUUCCACGUUUGCCUUUCUUACACGGAACUCCGAACAGAUCGAUCAAGCCACGAAUCAUCUUGUAAUGGGUCAAUCCUUUCGGCCCAAUCCUAGUCGUAAGGGUAUAGGGGUUUAUACCCCCGUAGCUAGUCUUCGAGCUCCAUGUAUUGUGAGACGACACACCAUCUUGAGCUUCUUCGACCAGUUGGACUUGACAUCUUCGGUCAGUAGGGAAAUAACCCAAACAGUUGCAACGGUAUUUUAACCAGCUCAUAAGAUAGUUGAUCAAUAUCGACACCGAAGAAGCAGGUUGUCCGAAUAAUGCAUGGUGCUCUUGAGAAAAAAAGAUUUCUUUCCUGAUGAAGUGUGUCCACUUUUCUUUUCUCAAAAGUAUAUAGUUUCGAAAAGCAAGCAUAUUCACCGUAAGGUGAAGUGUGCCCACUUAAUCCUCGAGCCUGGCAGUAGGUGAUGUAAGCACAUAGUGCCAGGGUCUAAAAAAAAUUUGCAUAGAAAUUCUGAUACUGAGAUGCAUCACCAGGUUGAAAGCCCUAGUUUGGUUUUGGAUAAUUGAUGAAACCCUAGUACUAACCUCUAUACUGAGUAUGUGUAGACUUAAUGAGGUUGGUACAUGCCAAGUGAUGGAGCAAGAAAUGAUCAUGUUGAUGAUGAUGAUGACCAUAAGAUGAUCAAGUGCUCAACUUGGAAAAGAAGAAAGAGAAAAACAAAACCCUAUGGAGAUCAAGGCAAAGGUAUUGCUUAGGAUUUUGGUUUUGGUGAUCAAGACACCAUAGAGGGUGUGAUCACAUUUAGGAUUGAUAGUCGUACUAUAAAGAGGGGAAUUCUUUGGCUAAGCGGUUAUCGAGUGCCACUAGGUGUCAUUGUUCAUGUGCAUGCAUUUAGAACCUAGUGAGCUAACUUAACUCCUUCGAAGAAAAUGAUUGUGAAAAUGCUAACACACGUGCACUUGUUGGUACACACUUUGUGGUGUUGGCACACUUUGAGAAGGAGGUGGAGUUUGAAGGGUAGCUCGAUGGGAUUCGGCGCUUUUUGAGAAAAUGAAGUGCAUAUUUUCUAUUGCGCCAGUGAGAAAAUUGGAGAAGUCACGGGAGUGUUUCUCGCCGGACGCUGGCCACUAAGGCACCGGACGCUAAGUCUGUGCGUCCGGUGCAAACAGUACCUGGCCCAGCUAGGGUAAGGCACCGGACGAUAGGCACCAGACGCAGGCUUGUGCGUCCGGUGGUACGUGUCCGGUGUGAGUCCGUUUUGCAGUGCUCCCUGGGUUUAAGUCCGGUGAGCACCGGACGGUCCGGUGCUCAGCGUCCGGUGCCCUACGCGUUUUGCAGACAUCCCUGAGUUUAGGACCGAUGUGCAUCGGACGCGUCCGGUGGCAACUUAGGAGUGUCCGGUGCUCUACAGGUUACCGUUAAACUCUGACACGAGAGUUUGAAAAGGCGACAUGUGGCUGACGUUGGAGCACCGGACGCAGGGGCUGAGCGUCUGGUGCCCCCUAAAGAGCGUCCGGUGACCCUGAGUUUUGCCCAGUGAAAGAGCCAACGGCUCUAUUUCUUUAAAGGGCUUGUAAAUAGUUGUUGGCCGACUUGGGGCUCACUCUCUUGGCAUUCUAACAUACUUGACAUCCUUGUGAGCCUAAGCAAACUCCAACCACUCAUCUCCUUCAUAGAUUAUUCAUCUUUGUGAGAUUGGGAGUGAUUCCAAGUGCAUUUGCUUGAGUGAUUGCAUCUAGUGGCACUUAGGGAUCGUUCUAGCUGCGGUUUUCUUGUUACUCUUGGUGGUUGCUGCCACCUAGACGGCUUGGAGCAACGGAGGAGCUUUGACGAGUUGGUGAUUGUUUGUGGCCAUCUCCCGGUGAUUGUGAGGGGUCUUGUACCUUCCCCGACGGAGAGCCGAAAGGUAACUCUAGUAAAGUGCUCGUGUCAGUGAGUUACCUCACUUGUGGGUAGGUUCUUGUGGUGUCCUAGUGGGGACGAGGUUCGUGCUACACCUCUUAGCCACCGAACCACCAAGUGUUGGUCAACACAAUGGGGACGUAGCGUGCCGGCAAGCACGUGAACCUCGGGAGAAAAAUUGUGUGUCUCCAUUGUGAUUGUUCAUUGGAUUUCUCCCGGUGAUUGGACUUCAUAUUAUUGAUUGGUUCAUCCCCUCUGCACAGCGGUAUAAAGAUCAAACCAUCUCUCUUACAUUCCCGCAAACUAGAGUGCUUACUUACUUGUAUAGAAACUUUAGGUAGCUUUCUAGUGUAAAUAGUGGCAUAGCUCUUGUGUGCCUAGUGUUCAUAUCAACUAGAAUUGUUGGAUAGGUGGCUUGCAAACACCCCUUUAGAGCUAGAGCAAAAAGCUUCGCUUUGUUAUUUACUAACCUCUUGCUCUAGUGAGUUUGUAGAAUUUUUAAAUAGGCUAUUCACCCCCCUCUAGCCAUAUUAGGACCUUUCACAGGUGCAUCGUACCGAUAUAGUCCCUGAGCUUUCUGGAAGACGAAGUAUGAGCCUUGUACCAAGGUCUAAAAAUUUUAGUAUAUGAGUCUAAUUGAUAUGUGACUGAGGAGAGCAGUCUCCAAACUGUGGUCGAAGAGUGAGUAGAGCAAUUCCCGAACACAUCGUUGGGAGUGAUCAACGAGUCCCCAAGCAUAGUUAGGAACGUAAACAUGCUCGGUGGUCGGAGCAGUCCCCGAGCACAGCGGAAGAAGUGGUCAAUGAGUCCCUGGGUAUAGUUGAUAACGUAAAUGUACUCGGUGGUUAGAGUAGUCCUCGAGCACUGCAUAAGGAGUAUCCGAUGAGUCCUGGGCACACUCAAAGACAUUACUGUGCUCGAUGAUCAGGCAGUCCCGAUCACUAGUGUCUCAUUUGUCCUGUAUUGCCUAACUUGUCAUAAUUCUUUAUCUUAUCAACAUGUCGCUGAUGUCACAAUAUUCCAAUCUCAAGCACUAUUCCACCUGUUUUAAACUUAUCAGACCGCACUGAAUGGCGGUAGCAUUAAAAAGCAAAUGUACUGUCAUGCAUCCAAAGGCGAGCCCACAGAGACGAAAUGGGCUGCAUAGCACGCGAACCAAAACAAACUGGGCCCACCUUCACUAGAACCGAUGAUGGAAAACUGCAUAUAGAUUUAGCGGAACAAUAUGGGAAAUUGAAACGACGCUUUAGACAUUAAUGGCGCAUGUCCCCCUAAAUUUUUGAGCAGAAGAAAGGGCGGCACCUGCUUAAUAAAUAGCGAUAUGAGGAACAACAACCAUUCUUUACCAAGGUAGUUGCCAUUUCGCAUCUAAAGAACCACCAUCUUCCUCAAACCUUCAAACACCCGAGCGAGAUCCAAAAUCCACCAAAAACAAAACCAAAUGGCCAAAGGUGAUGCGAAUAAGAGGACGGAAAUGAUGGCCAAGGAGUGGUGAAAAUCCAAAUCCACCACGCAAUCCAUCAAUGAACUCGUCGGCAUGGGAGUGCUGCACAACCAAGAGCUAGGAGGAUGGAGAGCACCUGGAGGAGAAAGCUUCCCUGACCUAAGACCCGGUGAGAUUGUUGUAUUCGAAGAUUUCUUUAGGAGAGGUUUUAGGGUCCUAGUUCACCCGCUUCCUUCAAGGUCUGCUUUUAUGUAACACCCAAAAUUUGCUUUCUAACUAAUAGGAUUUAAUUUGAUUUAUUUAAGCAUUUAUGUGAGCAUUUAAAUCUAGCAAAUAAAUAAUUCUGUGGAAAUUGAAAUCUAUCAUAAGUUUAGGAACAUGUUUUGCAUUCAUGCUGGCUAUGGUUUAUUUUGUGAUGUGUGUUUUUGUUUGAGAAUUAAAAGAAUUCAAAACUAUUUUGAAAAAAACUUUGGAAAAUUAGAAAAAGAAAAAUAAAAAAGGGAAAGCCACCCUGGAACCAGGCCAAGACCUGGCUCUUCCUCCCCCUUGCGCGAGGCCCAACUCCAGUUCCCAGCCCGCAGCCCAGCAGCAGGCCAGGAAGCACGUGCCCUCUCCCCCUUGCGCUCGGCCCAGCUGUUGGCAGUCAUUAUAGACCAAUCAUAAACUGCCAACUUGAUCCAAAAGGAGAAGAAGCAAUCAUAUUAUAUACACACAUGCAUUUUAUUACUAACAAGUUCCACUUGUACCAUAGUGAUUAUAUUUUGCAGGAAUUAUAGUGCAACAAGUGGAAAUGUGCCAUACCACGAAGAAAGCGCAAAGUACCAAAAGACGUAUUCAGAAAUGCGCAAACCAAGAAAAUAGAGAAAGGCCCGAACAACGCAGAACUGGGCCUGAUCGUAACCACGGGAGAGAUCCAGGCCCAGAGCCAAACCGACCACACGAAGGCGGUGGCCAGGGGGAACCACCCAGGGUGUGGCCGCACCCUUGGAGGCGGCAAACCGGGCCCAUCUUUCUCAGGCGGUUGCAUGCCGCUAUGCAUCAGACGGUUUCACCUACUACCAAAUUUAGAUGCGACGAACCGUCCUAGUUCUACUAUAAAAAGAGAGGCACUCUCCUCUUUUCAACACACAUCAAUUGGAGUCAAUUUACCUCACAGCUCUCACUUGUAUCUUUAGUCUAGAUUAGUAGUAGAGCAAGGCAAGAGCUAGCAAGGAGAGUUCGUCUCCUUGGAAGAAAGAAUCUUCUUGGUAUGAAUAAUAUUCAAUUUUAUUCCAUGAGCAAGUUCUAUUUAUCUUUAUAUGAUUAUGCAUAUGAACUAGAGUAUGGUUGUGUUCUUAUCAUGUUCAUAGUAUAUGAACUAAUUCUUGUUCUUGUGCUAUGUUCUUGAUAUGUUCAUCAUUGUUCUUCAUUGUUCAUCAGAUUAGUAUGAUUAAGAUUAGAAUUAGGAAUGGGAUGAUGGUUCACUAUGUUGUGAUGGUUGCUCUCAGCCUAGCCUGUCACUCCAAAGGGGUGGGGCCCGUGGGGGUUAGGAGUUGUUUCCAAUUACGUAAACAUGGUGUUCGGGUAUGCGGGAAUCAGUGGAUGUGCGGGUAUCUUUCAGGUAGAGGGGUAGGUGGUAGGGUACUGACAGCUCUGUCAACCUUUGCAUUCCCCCACGAUCAGGUAUUCCGAUAGGAGUUCUGUAAAGUCUCUAUCGGCUGGUUAUCCAGCUGCGGGGAUCUUCCCUCAUCUCAGGCUUAGUUAUAACUCUAUUUAUUGCUAAUUAGAUGAUCCACUAACAGUUCUAUGCAUACUUAUAUGUGACCCAUGCCUGCUCAAGUCGAUUUAUUUCUUUAUUCUUUAUUUAUUAUUUCUCUUCUAUUUUAUCCUUGAGGUUCAUCCAAUGUGUGUCCACUAUCUUGAAUAUCAUGUUUAUUCCUAUUUACUCUAUGUCUACCAAGCAUUCAAUAAGUUAUCAUGUUUACACCAUGUUUGAUCCCUUUGCCUUCCUACGGGAAUUAUAAAUUCGACACCCUUGAAUACUCAUGGGUUGAAAUACUACAAUGAUAGUUCUGUCCGCUUGCAGUUAUAUUACUCCUUCAUUCAUGAACUAUCGAUUGGUGUACCUAAGUAUCGUUACUUAAGAUUGUAAACCUUGUGCACUUUCAAGCGUAGUGCCACAGCUUUGCAUAUCGCAAGUAAAGAUGGUUAGGAAGGCCAAUCCGGCAUUCCUAAUUAUUGUUACCAGACUGCACUGCUAAGGACGUCGCCCUCGAGUUGCCUUGGGUUAUCUCUCUAAUGUAGCGAUAGUUACGGUAUGCCAACAGCCGACAUUUCUGGUGCCAUUGCUAAGGAUGGAUCUAUGGUCUAUUUUUAGUAGUGACACUAAGAAAUGCCAACAAGCAUUUCUGGCGCCGUUGCCAGAGAAGGCAAAAAUCAUACUGGCACAAACAUUGAUUGCAUAAUAAGCAUUGGUAGCCAUAGAUUAAGCAGGAUAACUUUACUGUUAUCUUUCUUUUUUUAUUGGAAUGAAAAUAGGAUAGUGUAUGAGCGGUUUCAACUUGCCGACAAACUUCCAUAGUGAUCCAGAAACACUCCUAAGGAAGAGAAGGGUUCGUACCGUCUCUUCUUCUACUAUGCAAUCGGCAAGCGAAUCAACCGUUCCAGCACCAACCGCACCAAUCGCUAUGGCCAAGACACUCCAUGACUACUCCACUCCCGCUGUUGCCAACGUGUCGACUGGGCCCGCUGUCAAUAUGGGGAAUGGAAGCUUCGAGAUCUGCACUGGCCUCAUCUCUAUGGUGCAGGCAAUCCAAUUCUGUGGCUUGCCAAGCGAGGAUGCCAACGCCCACCUUCAGAACUUCCUUGAGCUGUGCGACACCGUCGUCAUCAAGAACGUCGUGCAGAACAUCAUCAGGCUCUGUCUGUUUCCCUUUUCCCUCACUGGAAAGCCGAAACAAUGGUUUUAUCAAAACAAGGAAGCUGUUGACACAUGGGAAAAGUGCUCCGUGGCAUUCCUCACCAAGUUCUUCCCUAUGAGCAGGACCAGUGCUCUGAGGGGGAAGAUCUCUAACUUCCAGCAGUCUUCACUUGAGUCCAUACCCGAAGCAUGGGAGAGGCUCUAGGAGUACAUCCGGGCCUGUCCUCAUCAUGGAAUGGAAGACUGGCUUGUGCUCUAGAACUUCUAUGAAGGCCUCAUGGCCAUGUCAAAGGGGCACGUAGAUGCCGCAGCUGGAGGUGCAUUCCUUUCUCUCACCAUUAAUGAAGCUACUGCCCUCAUCAAGAAGAUGGUGGCAAAUCAAAGCUGGGGAGAAGGAAAGAAAACACAAAAGGGUUCGCAAUCUGCGAAGGAGGCAUAUGUGCUUGCCGUAAAAAUAGAUUGUUGCUGCAAAGGAUGGACGGACAAGUUGCAAAUCCCAACAUGGGCACCGUCCAAGCAGUGAACUCACACACAUCGUGUGAAGUUUGUGGUGACAAUAGUCAUUCAGGGAACAAUUGCCCCGAAACCCAAGAAGAAGCAGCAUAUGUCAAAAAUGGGUUUCGGCCACCACAGCAAGGUAACAAUGGGUGGAACAAUCAGCACCGCCCGCAGGGUAAUUUCUUCAAUCAGCCUUCCUUGAAAGAUGUGGUCAGAGGGCAAGCUAAAAUCAACGAGAAUCUGACCAAGAAGCUGUCCUACAAUGACAAGAUCAUUGAGAACAUCAACGCCAAGCUUGAAACUCUUUGUUCAUCUAUCAAAAGUCAGACGAGUUUCAAUAAGAUGAUAAAACAUAGAUAGCACCCAUAGCUGCAUCAAUUCCAGUCACUAACACAGAGAGGAUCCCAGGGCAACCAGAAACCUCUACUAAGUUCGUCCAUGAAGCCACAGAAGAAUGAAGGAAGGAAAGUCUUGCCAACGGACUAUAAAUGUUGAGCCCUUGCCGAAGGCAUUCGGUAGUUAUCUAAAAAAACUAUAUAUAAUAAAAAUAAAUUUUGUGCUAUUUGUGUCCCAAUAAAGAUAUCUGAAAGGGGCCUACGACAUCAAGCAAGCUUGGGGGAGGUGUCCCCGCUCAGGUAUUAUGUCUUUUUAAAUUCUUUAAAUUUCGUUUUAAUUUCCCUUUUUAUAGAAAGUUUUUAUUUUUAGUUUCCAAAAGUUUCCCUUUCUAUAGUUUUAUUUUUAGUCAAAAAUAAAGUUUCUCUGAAAAUCUUAUAAAAAUUAUUUUCUGGUAAUAUUUUGAAUAAAUAUGUGGAAAAUCAAAAUCUGGAGCAAGAUUUCGAACCAAGUCUCAUCGUAACCAGAGAGACGUUUGGGGUGACCGUUGGAGCCAGCAGCCAAAAGGCCGGGUAGAGGCGGGCCCACCACUGGUGCGGGUGCACCCUGCCCAAGGCCUGUUGGCCUCGGGAUUUGGGCAACGGCUAGUAGCCGUUGAGGGGGGCGCUCCCCCGCCUGCGAUCAACUCUAUAAUUAGAGAGGAUCCCGGGUGGAGCACCUCACCCCUCACACACACAUUUUUUUACUCUUCCCUUCUUCACUCUCUUGCUCCACUUUGCUUCAUAGCCUACUCCACAAGCUUAGUGCAAGAAAAUUCUGUCAAAAACCUCUUGCACACUUCCCUCUCCAAGCAAAAACACCAUACACUUGUGCUAGCUCGUCCACCAUGAAUAGAUUUUUCGGGCUUAGAAGGAGCCGCCGCCAACACGGGGAAGAUCCACCAACCCCUACAAGGAACGAGCAGCCGGCACAUGGAGUAGAGGAGGAAGAGCCACACGGCAACGCCAUUGACGAGGCCGACACCCCCUUCAUCGACUUGGAGAGCGAGCGGGAGAUGUAGGCAUACAACCUCAUGAAGGAAUGUGAGUUCCUCCAUUUGCCGGCAUUCAACCCCGCAUUCUUAAACCAAAUAGGUAUGGAUGUUGAGUUUGAUACUAUUUUCAAGCAUCUUGGUUGGAGUAGAAUUGCCCCCGUUCAUGAGCUUGGGUCACGUCUUUUGACUAUCCAAAUUUUGGGCACUCUACAAAUUGUCGAUUAUGGUAUUACCUUCUGUUGCUUUGGAAGAGAUUUUGGUAUUUAUUGGAAGGAUCUUGCCAACCGUUUGGGUUUCCACAAGCGGUGCUCCAUUGACUUAGGUGUUGGGCAUUCUUAACGUCACUACCAAAAGUAGACCUAGUUUUCUAAUUCUGAUAACGGCGCCAAAAAUGCCAAACCUAUCCCUCAUGCCACUUAAGCCAAGUUGUCAUCCCCAGCAUGACAUGAGAGACGCGGUAUUGAAAUAUGCAAUUCCUCUUCAGAAUAAAUAAUAAAUAAGAUCUGCAAGCGCACAGAUUAAUACCGAUGUAGCAUUUUAACCGGGAAGUAUUCCAGGUAUCGUUAUUUAUAUUUUUACCACUGGGAAGGGAUUGCUAAACAUCAAUGUUGAUUAUAGAAUGGAAUAUAGAAUUGAGUAUCUAUCAUUGCAUGUAUAAUUGAGAGCAUUUAUCUAUCUCUUUCAUGCAGGGAUAAAUGUCACAUGAAAGAUAGAUAAAGUAUGAAUGGUGACAAAGAUAAUUAAUCUGAUCAGCAUAACUUAGCCACAUAUAAAUAUGAUAAGCACCUCAAUAGAUAUUCUAGCAAGUCAUUAGCAUGGAAUUAGGACGAACUACAAGAAUAUUUCCUAAGUUAUUCUCAACUAUACAGUCUAGCAUAUCAUAGUUAGUGCAAUUAUACUUGGCAAUCAUUGCGAGACAGGACUACACCCAUGCAUAGUGAUAUUAUCAAGGAAUAUGAGAAACAUAGCAAUCACUCCCCUGUAAUAAUGUUGCUCUGCCAGCCCUAUACACGAGAGGGGGACUAUAUCAGAAUCAAUGGAGCUGUCACUACCACGAACUACCCCGCGAUCUGGCAUAUAGGGUACAAUCGCAGAUAAAUAUGGUAUAGGCACCACGCCUACACAAUACUUAUCAUUUACUCGCUGUACAUAUGGAUAAAUGCUAUACGAUCCUAAACAUGUAUAUAAUUCGAAUCUAACUAAGCCAAGCAUAUAACUAUGAUAAACUAAGAACAAUAUAAUUGUGAAUAUAAACAAGUAGAGCAAAGUCAUAAUCAAUAUAUUGAAGUAGAACAAAGUCAUAUUCGUAAUAUUGAAGAACAAAGAUGAACAAUUGAAGAACAAUAGAGAAAUUACCAAGAAUCCUCUUGACAGAUCCACAAACCAAUCGAAGAUUGACUCCUUCUAGUUCUAAUCCUAUGUAGCUAUGCUAAACUAGAGAUCUAAUUGAUGUGGUGGCUCUAGGGCUUGAUCAGAGGCUUCUUCUCCCAAGAUGAAUAAUGAAUUAGGGUUCAGAGGUCCUCUCCUCCAAGGGCCAGGGGGUCUGCUUAUAUAGUCCUUCCAAGUGAAUGUGGGCCGUCGGAUCAAACCGACAUUAAUCGCACGGUUUUCCUUGAUCCUUUAGGUCAGUGGAGCAUGAUCCGCGAAGUUGAAGCUGAUUGGCCCCGAGGCCAGGGCGGGCGCCCAAGGGGGGAGGGCGGGCGCCCUACCCCCGAGCCCGUCCGGUCUCCCGUUCGUUCCCGUGGCUUCUGGACUCUUCUAGAUGUAGGAUAAUUGCGCGGCACGUUAUUAUCUCUAUGUAAACCCGACGUGUGGGCCUUUCCUCCGUAUUUUCUGAUAACCCCCUGUAGAAAUAGACAAACCCCAAAACUCGUGGAAUUCUGUCAGAUAAAACCCUAAGUCUGGGUGUCGGUUGCAUUUGGAUCUUUUCUUUGUUUAUUUGUUAAUUAAAUUUGAUACUUAAGGACCGUCAACAUUAGGUUUCUCCCACAGGGGUUACCAAUGUCAUGCUUUCUCGCAUUUGAUCUCGUGGCAACAUGUCGUUGGAAAGUUUCAGGGGCAUUCUGCCAACAUCCAUCACCCCACUCUGAGGCUUCUCCAUAAGUGGAUCACUAGUUCAUUCUUUUUAAGAGAUGAUACGCAUCUUACUUACGAUAUAGAGUUGAAGUUGCUUCAUGCUGCGCUCAAAAAGAUUAAGGUUGCACCUGUUGUUGGGCUUGUUAAUCAUUGGUUGCAUUCCAUUAAGACUUCAACUGCUAUCAUGUGCACAUCUCUUAUUACUCGCCUUGCUGCAAGUGUUGAUCCCCAUGCUGCUAAUACCAUUAUUUACAUCACUGCUCCUCGCAUCAUGAUUAAUGAAUCAUAUCUUUCGCAUACACAUAUGAUUAAACGCGAUGAAACAGGUAAAAAGAUUUUAUAUUAUUUUCUAGGAUAUACAAACGAGAUCCAGUUACCUAACCCGGAUCUCGCUCUGUAUAAUUCCCCAUCACUCACCUUCACCCUCAUUAAGAGGGAAGGAGGACGCAGGAGCUCUGUUUCUCGCAGGAACUCAUGGAGGAGGGAACAAGAAGAGCAGGCAGCACAAGCAGCAAGGGCAGCACAAGCAGCACAGCACACUCCACCACCAGCUAUGCCAGGGAUGGGAUGGACCCCUGCUAUACCUACACUCGGAUUUACCCCUGUGUAUGGAUAUGGUAUGGGAUACGUUCCUCACCCCUACGAGGCUGGAGGUUUGAGCUGGCAGGCAGGAGGGUCGAGCUGGCAGGUGCACGUAGGCGUAGGCCCAAGCGAGCCAGAGGCAUAUGGGGUAGGGGGAUCCAGGCAUCACGAGCCUAGACACUCCUGAGAUUCCGAGGGGAUGCCACCCCCUGUUCACCCUUAGGUCACACUAGACGUCCUCAACACUCGCAUGGGAAGACUGGAGCUCCAGAAUAGGCAGAUCCAAGGUACGUUGAAUGCCCACAUCCAGACUACUACCCAAUGGUAUUAGCAGACCCAGCAGAGCUUCAUCGACCUUGAGGAUGCAAGUCAUCGCCGGCACGAGGCACAGAUGGCCUACCUGCGAUCCAUGGGACAUUUCCUUGGACCGCAGCAGUGAGCUAGCUUGGGGGAGGAACCCCAUAAGAGGUAACAUGUAUCUUACAUUCUUGCACUUAAUUUUAGUUCUUAAUUUCAGUAUUUAAAUUUCAGCAAUUUUUCAUCAUCUUUAAAAAAAAUUCACUCUCAUGUGCGCUAUGAUAUGUUAGUCUCUCUUCUGUUGAAAUGAUGAAUAGUUGCUCUGUCUAUAAUUCUCUAGUAUCUAAGUUAUAAUUUAGUGUUCAUCAAGAUUUAAGUUUGUUGGCUAAAAAUGUCUCAUUCUGAGAACUUGAAAUCUUGUGGGAUGCAAAUGCAUGAUCCUUUUCUAAGUUGUUGCGAGACAUGAUAUGGUAUAAAUAGAUUUUGCUAUGACUUUGUUCUAAGAGAAACUUGACAUCCGGAGUUUUCUUUUCAAAAAUUCAAAACAAAGAGUUCCUCAAUGAUUAUAAAAUACCUACCAAGGCCAUAUGACUUGCUUAGUAGUUUGUACACCUUUAGUCAUAUGCGGCUUGUGGCGCUUUGAGUUGAGUCAAAUCCUAGGUAUCCUAGAGUAAGAUUAUGGUCAUGCACCCAUGAUAUUAGAUUCACGCACCCACCAAAUAAAGCUGACUCUAACACUGAGAAGUUGCGCACAACAUGCACCCUUCCAUCCACCAAAAAUAUGCCAACUCUUACCCUGAGAGUUGCGCCUUAGCUUCCACCAAAUAAGUAUGCCAAACUCUCACCCUGAGGUUUGCACAUCCCCAUACACAAUUUUAGUCCUUACAUUACCAUCAUGACAUCUCUCUAUUUUCCUCUUUGAGAUCCCUUUGAAACAUAUGGGCAUCAGUUAUCCAUGAAAAAAAUGAAGGAAAAACCAAAGGGCAUGGACGGGAAAAUAAAAAUCCCAUCAGAAAUAUAUAUAUAUACACCAUUUUUUAGGGCCCAUAUGUUUACAUUAUCUCAUUCUCAUCCUCAAAUAAAAAGAGUCAUGAUACAAGGAGUAACCAAAAAUAUUUAGAUAGGACUACCACCAAAAAUUCCACACACUUGCACAUCUCAGUCAAGGUGUAUGACUUGUAUCUCCUCAUGGUCCGGGCUUUGACUUGACAACACAAGUGUCGUAAGUACGCCCACCUUUAUACCUUCCCAAAGCUCCAUUCUCAACCUUAGUGAUAGGUCUUAAAGGCAAACACAAAUGCCUUUGGUGAGGAAUACACAUUGAGCGAUCGAGAGAAUCAUUCGAGGAACUUAUUUAUUUUGCAAAAAUUUAUAAAACCUCCAGAUUGAUGGUCUAUCAAGGGAUAAAUGAAUGGUGAGUCUAUUACAACCAUUCUAUCUUGCAACCACCCAAGAACUUGGAAAAGCUAUAAGCCCCAUGAGAAGUCAAGGUAAAGAGUGGAUAGCAUGGCAACUUAUUUAAAUUGCGAAUGAAUGCUUUGUUAUAGGUAUGGUACUCUUGAAUUAUAUCGGCAUAGUAGCAACUUCUGAUCAACAACCAUACUUAAUUAUUUGCUCGAGAUGAGCAAAGGUUAAGCUUGGGGGACUUGUUGGCAGUCAUUAUAGACCAAUCAUAAACUGCCAACUUGAUCCAAAAGGAGAAAAAGCAAUCAUAUUAUAUACACACAUGCAUUUUAUUACUAACAAGUUUCACUUGUACCAUAGUGAUUAUAUUUUGUAGGAAUUAUAGUGCAACAAUUGGAAAUGUGCCAUACCACGAAGAAAGCGCAAAGUACCAAAAGACGUAUUCAGAAAUGCGCAAACCAAGAAAAUAGAGAAAGGCCCGAACAACGCAGAACUGGGCCUGAUCGUAACCACGGGAGAGAUCCAGGCCCAGAGCCAAACCGACCACGCGAAGGCGGUGGCUAGGGGGACCCACCCAGGGUGCGGCCGCACCCCUGGAGGCGGCAAACCGGGCCCAUCUUUCUCAGGCGGUUGCAUGCCGCCAUGCAUAGGACGGUUUCACCUACUACCAAAUUUAGAUGCGACGAACCGUCCUAGUUCCACUAUAAAAAGAGAGGCACUCUCCUCUUUUCAACACACAUCAUUUGGAGUCAAUUUUCCUCACACCUCUCACUUGUAUCUUUAGUCUAGAUUAGUAGUAGAGCAAGGAAGCUAGCAAGGAGAGCUUGUCUCCUUGGAAGAAAGGAUCUUCUUGGUAUGAAUAAUAUUCAAUCUUCUUUCAUGAGCAAGUUCUGUUUAUCUUUAUAUGAUUAUGCAUAUGAACUAGAGUAUGGUUGUGUUCUUAUCAUGUUCAUAGUAUAUGAACUAGUUCUUAGUUCUUGUGCUAUGUUCUUGAUAUGUUCAUCAUUGUUCUUCAUUGUUCAUCAGAUUAGUAUGAUUAGGAUUAGAAUUAGGAAUGAGAUGAUGGUUCAUUGUGCUGUGAUGGUUGCUCUUAGCCUAGCCUAUCACUUCGAAAGGGUGGGGCCCAUGGGGGUUAGGAAUUAUUUCUAAUUAUGUGAACAUGGUGUUCAGGUAUGCGGGAAUCAGUGGAUGUGCGGGUAUCUUUCGGGUAGAGGGGUAGGUGGCGGGGUCGUGACAGCUCUGUCAUCCUUUGCAUUCCCCCACGAUCAGGUAUUCCAUUCGGAGUUCGGUAAAGUCUCUAUCGGCUGGGUAUCCAGCUGCGGAGAUCUCCCCUCAUCUCAGGCUUAUUUCUAACUCUAUUUAUUGCUAAUUAGAUGAUCCUCUAAUAGUUAUAUGCAUAGUUAUAUGUGACCCAUGCCUGCUCAAGUAGAUUUAUUUCUUUAUUCUUUAUUUAUUAUUUCUCUUCUAUUUUAUCCUUGAGGUUGAUCCAAUGUGUGUCCACUAUCUUGAAUAUCAUAUUUAUUCCUGUUUACUCUAUGUCUACUAAGCAUUGAAUAAGUAAUCAUGUUUACACCAUGUUUGAUCCCUUUGCCUUCCUACGGGAAUUAUAAAUUCGACACCCUUGAAUACUCACGGGUUGAAAUGCUACAAUGAUAGUUCUGUCCGCUUGCAGUUAUAUUACUCCUUCAUUCAUGAACUAUCGAUUGGCGUACCUAAGUACUGUUACUUAAAAUUAUAAUCCUUGUGCACCUUCAAGCGUAGUGCCACAGCUUUGCAUAUCGCAAGUAAGGGUGGUUAGGAAGGCCAAUCCGGCAUUCCUUAUUAUUGUUACCAGACUGCACUGCUAAGGCCAGCGCCCUCGAAUUACCUUGGGUUAUCUCUCUAAUGUAGCGAUAGUUACGUUAUGCCAACACCUGAUAUUUCUGGUGCCAUUGCUAAACAUGGAUCUAUGGUAUAUUUUUAGUAGUGACGCUAAGAAAUGCCAACACCAGCGAGCGGCCCAGUACACCCCCAGCAGUGCGCCCUCCUCUCUCUCUGACAUGUGGGGCCCGCAAGUCGGCAUCCUCCUCCAUCUCCUUCCUCGCGCUGUCACCGAGCCGGACACCCCGUUGGCAACCAAUCCCAGAUUCUUCACGAUUUUCUCGUCCAAGCGCAAAACCGAGUCCUAUAAAGCUCUUUCGCCACCCCGCAGCUCCCUUUUUCGCAUCCGAGCCAUCCAAACCAAGCCCUAGCCUCGUAUACCGCGAGUUUCGGAUCUUGCCGAAGUUAUCCUCCGCCACGCCGAGCACCAAGCCACCUUCGCCCCCUCCUGGCUCAAGAAAAACGUCGUGGUGAGUUCGCGAAGUCCUCCUCCAUCUCUUGGUGUAUUUCUUUCAUCUUGAGAGGCCUGGAACCCCGAGAUCAAUCGUCACUGGUGAGCUCCAGGGUGGCAUCUAUGGCGCCGCCGCGCCAGAGUUGAAUUCCGGUGGUCGGAAUCCUCUCUGGCUUCUUAUAGCCGUCCAUCGCGCGAUCUACGACCAAAAACACUAGAUACCGUUUCGGCCGCCACUUUCGCUAAAGAGCCCCUGCUCUUUACUUAAAUCAACCCGUCGUCCCUUGGCGGCCUAGAGAAAUACAUUUUCUAUCUUCUAAAAACGUAAACAGCUCGGUUUAUGUUCAGAAAUAGGUUUUCACUAUUUACAGUUUUGCCACCAGAUUUAAAUUGCUUAUAACAUGCUAAUUUUAACUCUGAUUUGACCCAUUCAAAUUGCGUUAGAUUCGUCUCCUCGUGAUCUAUAUGUUAGUAUCACUAUAUACUAAGUUUCUAAAUUUUUAAUUUCGUGGUACUAUUCAAUUAAUUAUUAUUCUAUAGGAAAUCUUAGAAAAUUCAUAACUUCACCGUUUCAACUCCGAUUUUUGUGAUCUUUACGUCUGUGUGAUUAUAGCGCUACGUAGAACAUUUUUUAUAAACUUUUAUAUUUGUUUUAUCACUAUUGGUGUAUUGUUAUAAUUAUAGCUUGCUUGCUUUGUGUAUGAUUGUCCAUUAGAAUGUGUGUUGUUGAUUGAUGAUCGAGUAUAGUCGGUGAGCAAUACGUUGGUGAGCAAGACCAAGUCUUUGACGACCAGCAGGAAUGACAGGAAAGCUUUGAUCAAGGUAAGUAUAACUUGGAACUAUCCUUGUUACCUAUAUACAAUUAAUACAAUAUAUAUCAUAUGCAUGUAUCCACCUUGACAACCCUAGCAAAAUCAUAGAUGAUUGUUAUCUUGUGUUCCUUGAUACCUAUUUAGAUAUGCAUUUGGGUAGUUCUUGCUAGUGCUUGAUUAUAAUCCAUGAUCUUGUAACAUGAAUAUUUGGAUAUACAAUAAACAAUAAAAUAAGCUUUCUAGCAACUUGAACAUAAAGGGUGGAAAGAACUCUAGUUUUUGCUAGAUUGAUCUUGACCCUCCAUAAGGACUUACCCCUUGGCAAAAGCUGGGACAAGUCAUACAACCAUGAGGGCUACAUGGCUCUGAUUUUAGCUCAGUAUGAGGAUCUUUUUCUAGCUUGUUAGCGGUUACCUUAAAUGGCGUAAGAAUGGCUAGACACGUUGGGUAUAGUGCGGCCUCUGUCUAUGUGUAUAGGCUGCGUGUUAUGUGCCAUGGAAGGGGGGCUCUAUAUCUGCCUGCCAAGUGAAUCUAAUGGCCCUAACUUGUUAGACGAAACCUAUGAAAGGCUUCAUAGUGAUCCUUGCCGACCUCCCUAGGAAGGGGGUUAAGAGACUUUCAACCUCGGGUGAAAGGGUAAAUCACAACUCAUGGAUAAAUAUGUACAAACUCUGCAGAGUGGUAAAUCUGGUAUACUAGCCGUGCCCACAGAUACGAGCGGCCCGGAAAACUAAUGGAAUAGAUGGACACUGAUGAACAUGAUUAAUGAUAAUAAAUGAUGGUUUAUGAUGUUGUUUAUAUGUGUUAUUCUUAAUUCUUGUAUACAUUGAUCAUGUGGUUAUGUGAUUUAAUUAUGCUACCUUGAUAUUUGCUAUCUAAAUAUAAACAUGCUAUCUACAUAUAAAAGGUAAAUGCAGUCAAACCAGUGUCAGCUCUUUGAGCCUCAUGAACCCCUGGUUAUACUUGUUGAGUACGAUAUGUGCUCACUCUUGCUAUUUCACAACACCUCAGGAUAUGUUAAUGAAGAUGACUGGAGUGAGGACUACUGUUAUGAGUACUAGGCUUGGAGUCAACUAGUUGACAGUGUCCCUGUGUGGUGCUUCCGUUGAGAGUAUCUUUACUUUGUUUGAGAUUAUGUAAUAUUUAUUAUUCCACUAUAUAAUAAACAUUGUGAUGGUACUAUUUGAGAUUUGUCAACUUAUGUGUGUGACUGUUUCUGGGGUGCACAUAAGCCUUUUAUGCACUCUAUUUCGCUCUUGAAAUUUGGGUGUGAUAAAUGGGUAUCAAAGCUUUGUUGACUGUCGGACGCAAGUCUUGUUAGAAAGUGGCCGUCUUAAGAUUUUAAAAUUGCUAUAAAAUCCUUGUUCUAUAAACCUUGAUACUUUCCUCUACACUAUAUCCUUUCCAUUGCUAUUCAUCUUCACCUUGUUGCUUAUUUUAAAAGACUUGUUCUCACCCUCACUCCUUGCUUUGAUAUGCUUCUAGAACUUUUUCUUACCACCUUCUGGCGUCAUUGAGAUAGGAGUUUUAGGAUCUUUACCCUUAAUAGGAAAAGAACGAUAGUACCGCAAGUUGAGUCAAUGCUUGAAGUGUGAAUCUUUGAUGCUUGGUUUGGUUUGUUAUUAUGCUUAUGCUUGAUUUGGAUCUUUGUACAGAGUGUAAUGAUCUUGUGGGAUUUCUCCACAAUUUCAUUUAGUUAUAGGCCUAAGGCAUAAGGAUUAAUGAACUAAGUAGUUGGGUUUGGUUAAAAUUCUAUUUCUGUCCCUUGCUGAUUUCUGGAGGAGUCUGCAGUAAUUCUAGUAUAUCUCAAAUUUUGUUUCGUGCAAAGUUUAGCAAAUAUUUCUGGGAACAACUAGACUUCAUUAUCUUUCCAAUUCCACAAGAAUGACAGUAUUAUCUAUCAUGGUCUGUGAGAUAUAACUGUUCAAAGUUGAAGUUUCUAUGUAGCCUGGAAUUCUGGAACAGUUUUGGUUAUGCCCAGUUUUGACUAAUUUAUCGACAGAAUCUGUUAAUAUGGUCUAAAUGAAAGUUGUAGAUAAGUUCUUUAUAUUUCUAACGGUGUAAAGAACGGCUUCUUUUGAGUUCUGGAAGUCGAGAUAUGACUGGUUUUCCGAACUGUUGAUGUUGGUUAUCGCCCAGAAUAAAAAUCAGAUUUAACUAUCUCUUGUAUUUAUCAUGUUGGAUAUUACUGAGAUCUGUUUCUAUACCUUGGGAUGCAGAUGGCAGCAAGAGGCGGAGGCAGAGGUAUAAGUCGUGGUAGGGGUGCUAAUGCCCCAAUCUCUGUGGAGAAACUAAUGCAUACACAGAACGAGAUGAUGCAUGCAUUCCUACAACACCUUCAGCAUCAACCUGCACCACCACCACCACCACAUGUCUAUGUGAUGGAUAAGCAUGGCGAGUUUAUGAAAGGACGACCUCUAGUAUUCACUCAUUCUACUGACCCUAUGGAAGUAGAUGAUUGGUUGCGUGUUGUGGAAAAACAGUUAAACAUAGCUCAGUGCAAUGAUUUAGAGAAGGUGCUAUAUGCUUCUGGACAGCUACAGGGAGCAGCUCAGACUUGGUGGGAGUCAUACCAAGCUGCUCGUCCUAAUAAUGCUCCCCCUGUCACUUGGCUAGAAUUUUACAGAGAUUUCCGAGCAUGACACAUCAAUGAGGGAGUGAUGGAGCUCAAGCAGGAAGAAUUUAGAUCUCUCAGAAUGGGCUCUAUGACUGUGGCUGAGUAUCAUGACACGUUUGAGCAGUUGGCCCGCUAUGCCCCUAAUGAGGUCAGGGAAGAUGUUGAUAAACAACGUCUAUUUAUGAAAGGCCUUUAUUAUGAUCUCAGAUUGCAGUUGGCUGGAAACACUUACCCCACUUUUCAAGCUUUAGUGAACUGUGCCAUUGUGCUGGAUGAUAUGCGCAAGAGUCAAGAUCGGAAGAGGAGAAUGCAAGGACAAAGUCUGGGUAGUAAUAACCGCCAGCGUUUUGGCUCUCAACAAGGUUUCCAUCAGAGUUAUCAGGGACUAGUUAGUUAGUGGAAUCAUGAUCAGUAUCCCCAGCAUUUUCAGAAUCAGCAACAGAGUGGGAAUCAGCGCUUUCAUUUUCAGCAGCGUAACUCUUAUCAGCAGCAGGAUGGUCGACAGACACCUCAAUCAAGGAAUCCUAAUGCCACCCCUAGGAAGAACAGUGCUCCCAACACUCCUAACAGCGGUUUCCGCUGUGGAAAGGAGGGACAUAUGUCUUAUAAUUGUCCAGAUAACUUCAACCCACAGAAUUCCCAAAGGCAAAAUAGCAACCAGGAGAACAAUCGAACACCUAACACUGGAAAAGUGAAUCAUGUGUCUGUAGAGACAACUAUGGAGGAACCUAAAGUUAUGAUUGGUAUGUUUGAUGUCCAUUCCACCCCUGCUACUGUUCUUUUUAAUUUUGGAGCUUCCCAUACAUUCAUUUCACAAGCUUUCGUUAGGACACAUAAUAUACCCGCUUGUGCCAUGAAAAGCCCCAUAACUGUAAAUUCACCAGAAGGAACUAUACCAGCUUCACAUUGUUGCUUUCCAAUUAAUUUGACUCUAAGGGGGGUAGACUUUAAAGUGAGCCCCAUAGUGCUGAGGACAGUUGGAGUUGAUCUAAUCUUGGGUACAGAUUGGAUGAUGCAACAAGAUGCAAAGACUAAGUGUGAAGGGAAGGUAAUGGAACUAACAUCACCAACUGGAGACUAACUCAAGGUUGAGGUUAAGGUGCAGGAACAAAAGACAGCCAUAGUGAACCAGUUGGAUGAUGAUGCUAAACCUCAGGAUCAUGUUGUGAAUGAAUUUCCAGAUGUAUUUCCAGAUGAGUUGCCAGGUAUGCCACCUGACCGUGACAUUGAAUUUAUUAUUGAAUUGCUACCUGGUACUGCACCCAUAGCUAAGAGACCAUAUAGAAUGGGGGUUAAUGAAUUAGAAGAACUUAAGAAACAAAUAAAGGAAUUGCAAAAUAAAGGGUUCAUUCGUCUGAGUUCUUCACCAUGGGGUGCACCAGUUAUCUUUGUUGAUAAGAAAGAUGGUAGUCAGAGAAUGUGUGUUGAUUACCGAUCACUCAAUGAAGUUACUAUCAAGAAUAAGUAUCAUUUGCCUAGAAUUGAUGACUUAUUUGACCAGUUAAGAGGUGCUUGUGUGUUCUCUAAGAUUGAUCUACGAUCUGGUUAUCAUCAGUUGAAGAUCUGCAAUUCAAAUAUACCAAAGACAGCUUUCACAACAAGGUAUGUGUUAUAUGAGUAUACAGUUAUGUCUUUUGGUUUGACCAAUGCACCAGCUUACUUCAUGUACAUGAUGAAUAAAGUAUUUAUGGAGUAUCUUGAUAAGUUUGUGGUGGUAUUUAUUGAUGAUAUACUGGUAUUCUCUAAAACAAAGGAAGAACAUGCUGAACAUCUGAGAUUGGUCUUACAGAAACUUAGAGAACAUAAGUUGUAUGCUAAGCAUAGUAAAUGUGAGUUUUGGUUGGAAGAAGUUUCUUUUCUUGGUCAUGUUGUCUCUAAUGGUGGUAUUGCAGUGGAUCCUAGUAAGGUGAAAGAUGUGCUGAAUUGGAAACCGCCUACAGAUGUGAGUGAAAUUCGUAGUUUUCUUGGUCUAGUUAGUUAUUAUCGUAGAUUCAUUAAAGGAUUCUCAAAACUUGCAAAGCCUAUGACUGCUCUGUUAGAGAAGAAUGCUAAGUUUGUAUGGUUUGAUAAGUGUCAAGCUAGUUUUGAGGAAUUUAAGAAGAGAUUGACUACUGCACCUGUGUUGGUAUUGCCAGAUCUGAGUAAGAGUUUCUCUAUUUAUUGUGAUGCCUCUCGUCUGGGAUUGGGUUGUGUUCUUAUGCAAGAAGGCAGAGUUGUGGCAUAUUGUUGACGGUCCUCAAGUAUCAAAUUUAAUUAUCAAAUAAACAAGAAAAGGAUCCAAAUAAAAUCAACAUCUAGACUUAGGGUUUUAUCUGACAGAAUUCCACGAGUUUUGGUGUUUGUCUAUUUCUGCAGGGGGUUAUCAGGAAAUAAGGAAGAAAGGCCCACAUGUCGGGAUUACAUAGAGAUAUCAACCCACCGCGCAAUUUUCUACCAUCUAGAAGACUCCAGAAGCCACGGGAAGGAAGCGGAGCCCGAAAGGGGCCAGGCCCAGGGCGCCCGCCCUGGUAGCCUGGGCGCCCGCCCCCCUGUUGGAGCCAAAUCAGGACUCUUUCGCUCGGGAUAUUCCACCGACCUAUUGGAUCAAGAAAAACAUAGUACCACCUCGCCUAUCGACCCAAAAACGCAUAGAAGGGGAGGACUAUAUAAGCAAGGCCCCCUGGCCCCUGGAGGAGACAAGAAAUUAUCAUAGAGAUUGAGGGGUGCCCUCGAAGGAAAACCUCUUCUCUAAAUAAUACUUCUUUUUAGGCUUAGCAACCAAUGUAAAGUAGAAAUAGAUCUUCUAGUUUCUACUAGAUUGAGAGAGAUAGAGUGGAGGUGUGGAUCGGAGGAAGGCCGGCCUGUCGGUGUCUACUCCGAGUUGUACCUGCGGGAUCAAGUCUCCUAACCCGAGGCUUGCUUCUAAGAUUCUUCAGUAAUUCGACUUCUAAUACUAGUAAGUUCUUGUUUUAUUGUUCUUUGGUUUAUGAGUUUACUUUAAUCCUCUUCCGGUUGAGUAUUAGAGUAAUCACUUGUUAGCGUAAACGUGGUGUUUAGGCUAGGGUACUCAUAGAUAUCCCCUGACUAGCUGGACCGUGGUAGUAGCGAGGAACGUGACAUUUCCGAGUUACCUUUGCAGAUCACAUCUCGUUAGCAGGACGGGUAGGUUUAUAGGUGCGGGUCGAACAUCCUUUGUGUUGUCUAGAUUCCGUGAGCCUCCCCAAUAGAACAGUAGAUCAUCCUUACCAAGGUUAGAACGAGACUACGGUUGCAGUCUUCUCUAUACAUCACUCACAUCGAGAGACAUUCUUUGUAGCCUAAAGGGAUAGUAGCAAUAGAUUUGGUUAGUCAGAUGCACCCUUUCUCCCAGUGGUAAAAAUAUAAAUACGAUAACUCUGGAUAACCUCCCGGGUGAAAUGCUCACCGAUAUCCGUGCGCUUGCGGAUCAUUUUCUAAUUGCGUUACCAAAUAUCAACAAGCAUUUCUGGCGCCGUUGCCGGGGAGAAAGACGGUUUGCUGAGAUAACUUUGAGUCUUGCUAUUAUCUUGUAUUAUACUUUUAUACUUUUAUACUUUUAUCCUUUUAUUUUUAUCUUUAUGGAUAACUCAAAUUCCAUACCUAUAAUUAAAUUCUUUGCACCUUCGGAGACCAGCCAUAGACCAUGGGAGUCAACACGUCCUGCCCCUAAUUAUGAUCUGUGUCCGGAGUUGAUUGCAAUAGGUCAAAACCAACCCUUUUCUAUAGCUGAGGUCCUAUCUUUUAAUCAAGAAGAUAAUGCACUUUUAGCUACACCUAGGGAAUCUUUUAAUCUUUCUAUAAAUUCUGGUUUAGACCUAGCCCUACAAGACCAUGUUUUUCCUAGAUAUUUUCACAUUGGUCUUAAUCAUAUAACCUUUGGUAGAGUCUUUCUUUCUUUAUCUGUUAGUAAAGGAAGGUAUGUCUUCAUUCGUGGACAUCUUUCUUGUACUAGUCUUCAUAGAAAAAUCUUAGAGAUAGAGAAGGAAUCAUCUCCCAGACGAGGAAAGGAAGUUUCAAUAGCCGAUUUCCAAACAUUUCAGUCCCAUGAUUCAGCUAUCCAACCCAUCCUUGAGCUUAAUAAAUUCUACUAUGCUCUUUCUUGAACCUCCUGAUAAUCCUAUGAAUCUAUCUAGACAUCCCAUGCAUAAGAAGGAGGAUCGAGAAGAGCAACAUCAAUGGCUAGAGGGCAUUAAAAAUCCAUGUGCUAUCACCAUUGAAUGGAUAGAUAAAACAAAAUUGAGAGACAAUCCUAGAGGAAUUUUAAGCAUUCAUGAAGAAUCAUCCUUGGAGUUUGAGAAUGAGAGAAACAACAGUGAGCAUGGAAGUUAUUUCAUAAAUACCUCACCUAGUCCUUGCUCAUAUAAAACAUCUCUCUAAUCAAUUUGUCUCUCCAUCCUUACCACAUUUGAGAUCUCCAACCCCCUCUUCUUUUCUAUUUAUAAAAACUUUAAAAGGGCGGUUGUCGAUGCAUAUGUCUAUAAUAAAUAUUGCAGAUCUCGUUGAGUUAAUUGAUGGUUCCCCAAGGACAAGCUUAGUGUCCUAAAACAAGCACUUCUAAUUAUUUGCAACAUUGCCUUGUGUAUUGAGCAUAUAAAGAUAAUUGUAGAAAUAUUCCUUCGGGUAUUCUUGCCACUAACCUUUCUAGGAUUGGAGCAAGAAGAUCGGAUGAAUGACAAGCGCAAGGUAUGCCCAACCAAUCAUCAUGCAACAUUAAAUUAAAUUCAUCCAAUCUUGAAUUUUGCAAAAUUCAAGCUUGGGGGAGUACUUUACAUAAAACAUCCUUUGCCAUGUUGCUAUGUUGGUUGUCCUUACCUUUGAGACAUGCUCAAUUUGUUAAAUACUAAUCACACUACUUCAUCUCCACUUGAGUAGAUCUCUAUAAAAGCCAUCAUGCUACCUUUGUUUAUCCUAGUAAGUGUUAGUUUGGAAGUACUGGUCACACUUCCAAUGGCAUUUAAAUUAAGUGUGGUGCUUAGGUUAAAUAGCCUUCCUUAAUCUGAUUAGACAUGGAGUCUAGUUUGGUUACUGAACUAAAAAACUGCUUGAGUAGAUAUUGGUAUAUUUUGUUGGACUAACCCCUAUAGGAAAACUUUCAAUAUCAACCUGGGAAGUCCUGAGAUGCAAACUCAUUAGAGAUGAAGAAAGUGACACAUGAAGUUUAACAAUUUGCACAAGAAAGACGUAGCUCAUAAGAGAUGAUUCAUGGAGGGUGCCACAAACACGAUGCACAACCGCUAAGAAAGGAAAGCUUCCACAAGGUGAUACUGUACCAUCACUCUUCAAGUAAGGUAACAUCUUAAGGUACUUGACUAACACUUUUAUAAGCUCCUCCUUGGUUCUGGCAUUCACAUAAAUAAAGAGACAAACAUGUAUGAUUUAUAACUCCAAAUUAACCAAUUCAAUUAAUUCAACAUGUUUAGUCCUUUAAUCUUUGUUCUUAGUACUACCUUCGUGACCCCACACUCCUAAUCAUAUAAGCUAAAGUAUUGCACAUGCAAUCUUUGGAAGAUAUAAACAAAACAUAAAUAUAGAUAGAUUAUCUUUCCAUUAGGUUGAGCCAUCUGAUCUGACAAAUGCUACACUCAUGAUCCAUCAACUUUGUCUUGCUCACCAUGCUUAAGGUUAGAGAGGAACAAAUACACUUUUGGUUCUGUUGGUGUUUUGCACCAACAGGGCCCAUGCACUUGAUCUCUACCUUGUCUCUAUGAGCAGGAACACUUCGAGCAUAAUAUGAAGGAGUUUUACAACUCCCAGAUUCCACUAAGUGAAGAACUAGGAUCUACGAGCACAAACACACUGGAGAUACUGGACGCUCAGGCAAUCACUGCCCUAAGAUGCUUGACGACGUGAACUACAUCAACAACAAUAACAACUAUUACUACAACCGUCCUCAACAACAUCAAGGUUGGAAUCAACAGAGGCCUAAUUACUCAGAGAGGUGAUCUAGGACGUCCCGUCAUCCCGAUCUCCAUCGGCAUGGUGGACUUCCCAGAAGCACUCUGCGACUUUGGCUCCAGCGUCAACAUUAUGCCCAGGGUUGCAGAUCGGACACUCAGUUUCCCAAAGGAAAUAUUGAAGAACCUCUGCGUCCGAGUUGGUACCUUAUACGCUCUAGCAGACUUCAUGGUGAUAGAGACUGGUACUGAGGAGAGGGUACCCAUCAUCUUAGGGAGGCCAUUCCUAAACACCAGAGCUGUCAUCUACGCUAAUGCUGCCAAGAUCAGUUUCUACAUCAAGGGGAAGAAGGAGACUUUCCUUCAAGAACAAGACCACAAAUUUCAGAGCAAUCCCGACAUGAACCAAGGAAGAGGACCAACAGGAGGAACAGGAACAAGCAAAUGUGGACCGAGUCAGCUAAGAUGGUCACUGCAGUUCAAGGAGGUCAAGAUCGUCGACUCAAGUCACCUUUCUUGAUCAAGAAGGACAACCCUGGUGUUCUAAGCAUUGAGUGCACAAUCAACAGAUACUCUUUUCAGAGGACACUCUACGACACCGGAUCUGACGUCAACAUAAUGGCCGUAGUCACUUAUCAGCUCCUGCAUGAAACCAUGCCCCUACAACCAAUAUACAUUCAGCUAUAGAUGACUUUCAAGUUAUUGACAUGGGAGAAGAUGAAUAUGAUCCACCCACCAUCCUUGGAAGACAGUUCCUCAGCACUAUCAAAGCCAUCAUCUAUAUUGGAACCGGAGAAGUCCACAUACACUUCUCCUCUGAGUAGGUAUGCCGCUGUUUUACUGACCCUAACUAUAUAGUUGAAGACUCUAAGCAGGUCAGGACAAGAAGAAGACAUCGCAACCGCAACCAGAGGAGGCAAAUCAUCAAGGACGGAUGGGUAGACUACGAAGAAGAAGUGAUAAGGACUGAAGACAUACCACUUGAACAUAACUGUCCUGAGGAGACCAUAGCACCGAGUCAGGUGUGGAGAGAGAAUAUAGUUACACACGAAGAGGAGGCGCCACCGGAAUCACCGACUACGUCAUCCAGCGAAUCCCAGGACGAUUAAGAAAAUGGAGAGUCCCGCUCGGAGGACUUAAAAACACCGAACGCCUUGCCAAGAGGUAAACUUGGUAGUUAUCCUUUCCCUUUUAAUUAUUUCAAAUAGUUUACUUAGUUAAUCAUGUUCGUAUUAUCCUAGAAAGAAAAUAAAAAUGUGAAAAAAACUGUAAGCCCCAUGUGAGUAGACGAGUGGCAUAAAACCCAUAAGUACAUUCACUGUGGUGGCAUAAAAAUAAAAUAAAUAUUUUUCUGCUUUAUAAAAACAAAAAUAUAAAAACAGGGAGUAAUAUUUAUUAAGGAGUCUCAAGAUAAUAAAGGCUAGAUAUUUAUGCUAACACUUAAUCAGUUCCACAAGCUUUGUUGUCUAUUUGAGCUCCACAGAAUUUAAGAAUCAAGAAGACUAGCAGACGGAGGACAUUCUAAUCGCUGUCAAAAUAUUGCUGACUUUCAAACACACCUCUGCCACCUGCUAGCUACAUCAAGAGAAAUUACGUCAAAAUUCAGCUUGGGGGAGAGCACCCCCAUUUAUCUCGAUAAGUAUUUCUAUCUAUCUUUAUACUUAUACUAUAUUAGAAUAUAAAUACACAUAACUAUGAAAAACCAAAUAAAGAUUUUAUGCUUAUAUAUAUUUUGCUUAGUGUGUUUAAUAAAUAAAUAAAGUGGCUAUGCUAAUCUGUAUCUAAUAAAACUUAAGCAUGGAUAUGAUGAAUAGUUGCUCUGCCUAAUUUGCAAAUUUGAAGUUCUCUCUCAAGUUUAGAUAUAACUGUUAUAAUUUAAGGCUUGCUCUAGACCUAAACUUGUGGGAUGAAAACUUGAUCUGAAGUCUAAGUUGUUAACGGAUACGAUAUGGGAAGGUUGAGCUGCUGUUUAUCUGUUCCUAGAGAUGCUAGAAUUCUGGAGAAUUUUAUCUUUGAAAAUCUUUAAAAUAUCACAUGAUGAGUUCCUGUAUGAUGAGAGUUUAAAAUCCUACCACAGCCAUAUAUACAUGCUUGCUAGACUUUGAGCCACACAUUUACUUUUUACUGCUUAUGAGCAUUGAGUGUGGUCAAGCUGUGUAGACCCUUAGGAGCUUGUCAUGUGGUUAAAAUCAAGAUUCACUUGCACGUUCACUCAUACAUGCUACUUCUACUCCGGAAGUACCAUCCACAUAUAUCCACUCAUUUCCAUCUCCACAUUUACCCAAAAGUAUUCUACUCCUAAUCCGGGAGAGAAUAACUAAAAAUAUUUCUGUUUUCCCCUUGUGAAAUAAAUGCUCAAGUUAUCUUGUUACUACCACUUGCUAUAUUAUCUCAAGAGAUGAAUGCUCUGAAAGAAAAAAAAGAAAAAAAAAAGAGAUACGAGGAAAUAAAAAGGGGUAAGUGCCCGGAACCUCGAAGAAAAAGAAAAAAAAGUGAGACGAGAGGUAAAAAUGGACAAGUGUCCGACAGUAGAAUUAGGGGUACAAGAUACCCACCUGAGAGGAAAGAGAAAGAAAAUAUAGAGCAUCUCAUUCUCCUCAUAAAGUUUCAAAAGCAAGGAAGGUAUGUAUCCCCUCAAAGAGCAAAGUAGAAUUUGACUUCCACCACCAUUAUCACCAUCAUCACCAUACACCAUUCACAUGCACAUCUUGAUUUGGCUUAUUGAUUUGUUUCUUUGGAUCCAUGGUUUGACUAUGCAAUAAAUGUCUUGUAAGUAUGUAUACUUUAUCUCCCACCUAUGAGCUCUAGAUAUUAAAGCCUUAUUAGAGUAGGGUGAGAGAGAAGACAAUGUCACUAUGCUUCAUACCACAAAUACCACAUAUCUUGAGAGAAGGCAUAUACCAUCACUGCCUUGGUAAGGAUCCAAAAAUACCACAAAAGAGAGACCUGAGAGAAUCAUACAAGGAAUUUCUGAGUUUUAUUUGAAAAUCUGCAAAAACCCCAGAGCUAUAGCUAUCAAGAAUAAGAGACAUGGCACUUGGCUAGUGUUCUAUCUUUUAACCACUCAAGAUAGAAGUGACGGUUACAAGUCCUAUGGUGUAGGUAAUGUAAGUAAGUUUUAAGUCUUAACAGUUUAUUCUAACUCAGAGAUGAGAUCUUGCUUAAAUGCGUGUGUACUUCUAAGAAAUGAAACCACUGUAGAAACUCUUGAGUUCAUCCUUGCUCAGGGACGAGCAAGAGGUAAGCUUGGGGGAGUUUGUUGACGGUCCUUAAGUAUCAAAUUUAAUUAUCAAAUAAACAAAGAAAAGGAUCCAAAUAAAAUCAACAUCUAGACUUAGGGUUUUAUCUGACAGAAUUCCACGAGUUUUGGUGUUUGUCUAUUUCUGCAGGGGGUUAUCAGGAAAUAAGGAAGAAAGGCCCACAUGUCGGGAUUACAUAGAGAUAUCAACCCACCGCGCAAUUUUCUACCAUCU